rnacentral:lncRNA from 1 species
CUUCCCUAUCUAGAGUACUAAACUGAUCAAGUUCCACGACACUCAACUUUUUCUAAAAAAAUUAUUAAAUAUUAAAAUCUAAACUCUACUUCUAAAAUCCUUUAGAAUGGGUUAGAGUUUUUCUUUUAUAAUGGAUUAAGAUUACUUUCAAACAAUAAUGGAGGAUUUAAUUAUUUACAGGUUGGAUUUUGUAGGGAUAAGUUUACCAUUAUAUACGAGAUAAUGGGAUUCACUUACACCAAAACAAACAAUGGAACUCAAAAAACUAAUUUCACCAGCAUUAAGUUAAACCAAAAUAAACAGAAAAAGUGAUUGAAUUUAAUUUUCAGACUGUAUGAGUUACAUCAAAAUAAAAAAAAAAUCACACUUUAGAAAAACUCAAACAACACUACAUUUGAAUUACGUUGGUUCAAGAAAUCCGUCAAUCCAAAUACCCCCAUAAUCAUACAACUCGUCUCAUCCAAACUCUUUCCUUUCCCCAACUACAGGUCUUAUUAUCUUUUAACUAUACUAUUUGACACCUCCUACAAACGCCACGUGGCAUGCCUCCUUAUUCUCCAUUCCACAUGGCGACCAACCCUCUCACCCCCACCUCUACAGAGCCUCUCUCUUUUCUCAACUCACAUCCAGCUGGCAUUCUCUCUCUUCAACUACUGCACUCUCUCUCUUCCUUCCUACAGAUAAUUCUUUCUAUCUCUUCCUCUCUCUCUCCUCUCCUCUCUCUCUUCCUCUCUUAAGAUGGGCCCCUCUCUCUUUCCAGCUGGCCUGCUCUUUCUCUUUCUCCUCCUCUCCCUUUCUCUCUCUCUCUCUCUCUCUCUCUCUCUCUCUCUCUUCUCCUCUUUUCUCUAUAUCUUAGCCUUCCCUCUCUCUCCUCUCUUCUCACAGGGUACCUGGGCAGCAACAGCAGUGGCAAUGGCUUGGGCGGCAACAGCGGCGGCUGCGGCGGCAGUUUGAGCGGCAUCAACGGCAGUCGCCUUGCGUCGACCUCAUCUCGCCAUCGAGGGAUCUUAGAGCUUUUUAAAAUUACUGUGAAUAUCUCAUAUACCCUAAAAAAAAAUUAAAUUAAAAAAAUAUAAAAAAAGACUUCUGCACCUCGACCUCAUCUCGCCAUCGAGGGAUCUUAGAGCUUUUUAAAAUUACCGUGAACAUCUCAUAUACCCUAAAAAAAAAAUAAAUUAAAAAAAAAAGACUUCUGCAGGAGACGUUGCGGAGGGUGUCGCCGCGGGUCCGGUAGCGGUGGCAGGUCUUGCAGAAAUAGCGCGGCUGCGAGAGGGAGUAGUUGUCGAAGUAGCAGGACUUGGUGUUGGUCGAGUCGUAGCGCGGGCACUUGAGCGCCGUGUCACGGACUUAACGAAUUUGCUCGCAAAAGCCCGUGCGGCGCUCGCCUUCCUUCGCGAAGUGAGCAAGCCUGCCUCUCUACUUGCUAAGUUAGGACCUCACUCGCCCUAGACUAAGUACAAGAGAGAUAUAAAGAAAGCUCUUCUAUUACUUUGAACUUGUGAAUACAAUAUGAGAUUCUGAAAUGAGAGGGGGUGGAGGACACACUAUUUAUAGGCCACUCGCCGCCCAUAAUGCCAAUGAAAAGGUGCCAAGUGGCACAAUACUACUAGCCAAAAGGGGAGGCCAUGCGGUCUCCUAAGAGUCCUAAUAAAUAGCAUAUAAACUCGAAGAGUCAUACAUUUAUUGACUACCUAGAAACUCUAAGGGACUCUUAACCCUCCGGUAUCCGCACCGUCAGUCUCGAGAUCCGCGUAGAAGCUUUUAGAUGAUUCCAAGCCAAAACCUCCAUCAGAUGUCUGCUUUGGAGUUUGGGUGAUUGCAAUGCGAAAUCGCGGAGAAAAUCUUUAUGUCCUGACAACCUCCCCCACCUAUUGCGCAGACGCCCUCGUCGCGCGCUGGUGUUGGAAGUCAUCGAUUAGCUUCUGAUACUUCCAGAGUGUGUCAGCCUUCUCCGAGCUUGCCUCGCCAUGCGGGAGAUUCUUUCACUUGACAAGGUACUCCACGCUCCUCGGGACUCCGCGACGCCGAAUGGUGCGAGUGUCCAACAAGGCUUCGACGUCCUUGUCGAUUGCAGUGGUCAUAGUGGCGGGAGCGCGUUGCGACGCGCCCCGGCUCGGGUCCUCAUCGUCUUCAUGGUAGGGCCGUAGGCAGCUAGCAUGAAAGAGAGGAUGAAUCUUCAGGUUGGCGGGGAGUUGCAGUUUGUAGGCUGCCUUGCCUGCUCGCUUGAUGACAGUGAAAGGCCCCUCAUACUUUCGCAAAAGCCUAUGGUGUACCUUGCGAAAAGCCUUGAACUGUUUUGGUUGCAGCUUGAUCAACACUCGAUCUCCCUCGGCAAACUCCAAGGGUCGCCGCUUUGCAUCGGCCCACUUUUUCAUUCGGCGGGCCGCCUUCUCGAGAUAGGCUCUCGCAAUGUCCCCUUUCUCCUGCAAAUGAGAAGUGAAUUGGAGAGCCAUUGGGCUGCGGCCCUGCUCGCCUGCAGCAGCAGAAUGCGGAGUGAGUGGUUGCCUCCCCGUUGCCAGCUCGAACGGGCUAAGGUUUGUUGACUCGCUCCGCCGCAAGUUGUAGGAGAACUAGGCCACGUCCAGAUGAUGCACCCAGUCCUUCUGGUUGGCACUGACAUAGUGCCGCAAGUACUCCUCCAGUAGGGCAUUCACCCGCUCCGUCUGGCCGUCCGUCUGCGGGUGAAAACUGGUGGAAAAGAGCAACUCCGACCCCAAGAUCCGGAACACCUCUGUCCAGAACUUGCCCGUGAACCUAGGGUCGCGGUCACUCACAAUGCUUUCGGGGACGCCCCAAAGCUUCACCACAUUGCUGACGAAGAGCCGCGCCAUUUCUUCCGCCGUGCAAUCCGCUAGUGCCGCGAUGAAAGUCCCGUACUUGGAGAAUCGGUGCACCACUACGAGGAUGGACCCCAACGUCCCCACCUUGGGCAAGGCGGAGAUGAAGUCCAUGGAAAUGCUCUCCUACGGACGCGUCGGUGUAGGCAGGGGCUCGAGGAGGCCCCCAGGAUUCUGGCGUUCCACCUUGUCUUGCUGGCACACAAGGCAAGUCCGCACGUACGCCUCCACGUCGUCGUGCAUGCGAGGCCAAUAGUAGGCGGCCUCGAGUAGCGCCAUCGUCCGCUUCUGUCUUGGAUGUCCGGCCCAAUUGGAGUCAUGACAUUCCUUCAUGAGCUCGCGACGAAGAUUGCCCCAUCUGGGCACAUAGACGUGCCGCCCCUUGGUGAGGAGCAGCCCAUCGCUAAGCCAGAACCGCUACGCCUUGCCCUCCUUGACGAGUCGCACGAGUCCUUGGGCCACAGGUUCCUCGCAAGUCCCUUCGCAGAUUCGCUCCCUGAUCGCGCCUUGGAGGUGGCACACCGCUGCCAACUCGGCUUUGCGGCUGAGUGCGUCAGCCACUUGGUUGUCAAUCCCGGGUUUGUACAUGAGCUCCAUGUUGAACUCCGCCAGGAAGUCCUGCCACCUCGCCUGCUUGGGUGACAGCUUCUUCUGAGUGAGGAAGUAGCUCGUCGCGACAUUGUCCGUCCGCACAACGAACUUGCUUCCAAGGAGAUAGUGCCGCCAAGUCCUGAGGCAGUGCACUACGGCAGUCAUCUCCUUCUCUUGCACCGUGUAUUGCCGCACGGUGUCGUUGAGCUUGCGGCUCUCGUAGGCGAUGGGGUGUCUGUCCUGCACGAGAACACCACCAAUGGCAAAGUUUGAGGCAUCAGUAUGUACCUCGAAUGGACGGCUGCAGUCGGGAAGCCGCAACAUCGGAUCCUCUGUCACCGCCCGCUUUAAGUCCUCGAAUGCCUCCGCGCAUCGAGGGGUCCAGUCCCAUGACUGGGUCUUCUUCAGUAAAUCCGUCAGCGGGGCUGCUUGAGUAGAGUAGCCCGCGAUGAAACGGCGAUAGUAGUUGACGAGUUUGAGAAAGGAUCGCAGCUCGGACACCGUCGUGGGCGCCUGCCACUCGCAGAUCGCUCGCACUUUCUGCUUGUCCAUGUGGAGUUGUCCUCGGCCGAUCCAGUGGCCAAGGAAGUGCACCUCCUCAUUCGCAAAGGAGCACUUCUCCCUCUUGACAUAGAGUUAGUUUUCCCGCAGCACUUGGAAGAUCGUCCGCAGAUGCUCGACGUGCUCCUCCAAAGUGUUGCUGUACACGACGAUGUCGUCGAGGUACACUACCAUGAAGCGGUCGAGGUACGGGUGGAAUCGCUUGUUCAUCAGGGUGCAGAAGGUUGCCGACGCAUUCGUCAGGCCGAAUGGCAUGACGAGGAACUCGUAGGCUCCAUACCUCGUCACGCAAGCCGUUUUCUCCUCAUCGCCCUCCGCGAUCCUGACUUGGUAGUACCCCAAGCGAAGGUCCAAUUUGGUGAAGAACUUUGCUCCGCCAAGCUGGUCAAACAAGUCAGCAACAAAGGGAAUAGGGUAAUUGUUCUUUACCGUUACUUUGUUGAGCGCUCUGUAGUCAAUGCAGAGCCGCAGGCUUCCGUCGCUCUUUCUUUGGAACAAGACUGGUGCUCUGUAGGGUGCCUUCGACGGCCUGAUGAAGCCCGUAUCGAGGAGGUCCUUCAGUUGACGUUGCAACUCCUCGAGCUUUGGUGGGGCCAUGCGGUAUGGUGCCUUUGCUGGUGGCUUUGCUCCUAGCUCGAGCUUGAUCGCAUGGUCCACCUCCCGCCUGGGUGGAAGUCUCUUGGGCAACUCCUGGGGCAUGAUGUCCUUGAACUCCCCCAGGACUGCAUUGAUCAUCGCUGGAGGGCCCUCCUCCUCGAGGUCCUCUUCGCUCACCUCGUGGAUGGCCGCAAGGUAAGUGAUUUCGCCGCGCUUCACCCCCUUCCGCAAUUGCAGAGCGGAGAGGGUGUGGGUUGCCACUGGCUCGCCGCGGCUCGCCAAGACCAUGCAUGGGGCCGUCUCCUCCAUGAUGCUCAAGCCCCCAAGAUGCGGCAUUGGAACCGCCUUCGAUGAAGCGAGAAAGUCGAUGCCGAGAAUGACUUUGAAGUCGUUGAUGGUCGCGGCGGUGACGUUAGCUGUACCCGACCAGGGUCCUACAGCGAUCAUCACCCCUUUGGCUACUCCUACGAUAGGCUGUGCCAUCAAGUUGACAGCCUUGAUCUUGCUCGUGUCCUUCUCGAGUGUGAGGCCCAGCCGUUUGGCCUUAGACUCAGCGAUGAAGUUGUGGGUCACUCCAGUGUCCGCGAGCGCACGAGUGGCUCUCCCGUUGAGGGUCACGUCCACGAACAGCAGCUCCUUCUUGAGCGGUUUGCUGCUUGCCUGCUCCUGCAUCGCGCUGACGAGUCGUAGCGUGCCCAUCUUCGUCUCCGCUUGUUCCUCGCCCUCCUCGGCUUGGAUGGCGUUGACGGUCUUCUUCUUUGGGCAAUCUCUCGCCCAGUGAUCACCCCCGCAGACAUAGCAAGAGAUCGUCUUCUUCUUCUGCGAAAGGCCCUUUCGCUCUUGGCCCUUUUGAUCACGUUGCUCGCGACGGUCUCCCCCACCCUUGGCCUUGCCCGCCUUAGAUGGUUUGGCAUGAGCGAAGUCCGGCUUGUCAUACUCCAGUAGCUUCUCCGCUUGAGCGAUAGCGGAGCUUACAUCUUUGACGUCUCUCGCCACGAGCUCCUUGUUAGCCCAUGGUUGGAGACCGUCGAGGAAGAAGAACAGCCGAUCCUCCUCGGCCAUGCUUGUGAUGGCAAGCAUCAGCUUGGAGUACUCCUUGACAUACUCCUUGAGGGAUCCUGUAUGCUUGAGCCGUCGAAGUUGCCUCCGCGCCAGGUAUUCGACGUGCUCGGGGUGGAACUGUGCCUUCAGUUCGCGCACGAAGUCUUCCCAAGAAUCCAGUUUGCAUUGGCCCUUCUCGGCCUCUGCAGAACGCCGACGCCACCACAGCAUCGCAUCGUCGGUGAGGUACAUGGAAGCGGUCUGGACCUUGUCCUCCUCGUUCUCCAUCUUUAGCGCCUUGAGGUAGUGCUCCAUGUGCCAAAGGAAAUUGUCUAUUUCCUUCUCGUCGCGUGCGCCCUUGAAACAUUGGGGUUCAGGAACGUGUACCUUCGGGGUGUACUUUUUCUGCGUCUCGACGCCUCGAGCCACUGCCUUCUCAAGGAUAGUCACUCUCUUCUUGAGGUCCUCGACCUCGUCGACUCGAGUAACUAGCUCCUCAAUCAACUUUGUCCGCUCCUCGUCACGACGGGUGAUGUUGCCUUGGAGCUUCUCAAUCACGCUUCGAAAGGUUGCCAUGGCAGUGGCGACACUCUCCUCCAUACUGCGAACAUCAUCAUUAAAGGCGUUAAAGGUAUCGGCCAUCUCGGUGUACCUUUCACCCACCUUCGAUAGAAUGUUCUCCAACAGUGCAAGGCGUUCCUCCACAGAUGCGGAAUCCUUCGUGAGUCGCAUCUCCUUGCCCUUGCUCCGCUUGGAGGGUUGCUUUGGGGGACCUCCCCCAACGUCGACAAUUUCGGCAUCGGAUGACGACAUGGCUCCUUCUCGAACCGGCUCUGACACCAACUGUCACAGACUGAACGGUUUGGUUAGCAAAAUCCGUGCGGCGGUCGCCUUCCUUCGCGAAGUGAGCAAGCCUGCCCCUCUACUUGCUAAGUUAGGACCUCACUCGCCCUAGACUAAGUACAAGAGAGAUAUGAAGAAAGCUCUUCUAUUACUUUGAACUUGAGAAUACAAUAUGAGAUUCUGAAAUGAGAGGGGGUGGAGGCCACACUAUUUAUAGGCCACUCGCCGCCCAUAAUGCCAAUGAAAAGGUGCCAAGUGGCACAACACUACUAGCCAAAAGGGGAGGCCACGAGGUCUCCCAAGAGUCCUAAUAAAUAGCAUAGAAACUCGAAGAGUCAUACAUUUAUUGACUACCUAGAAACUCUAAGGGACUCUUGACUCUCCGGUAUCCGCACCGUCAGUCUCGAGAUCCGCGUAGAAGCUUUUAGAAGAUUCCAAGCCAAAACCUCCAUCAGAUGUCCGCUUUGGAGUUUGAGUGAUUGCAAAGCGAAAUCGCGGAGAAAAUCUUUAUGUCGUGACAGCCAGCUUCGGCUACGGAAUCUUUGCGAGACGGGCGCGGUCCGCCAUCGAGCCAGGCCGGGCAGGGCCGCCGGCUGCAGCUGCCAUGCUUGGGGCCUCAGGGCGCGGCGCAACCUGCGGACCCGGUGGGAGCGGAACUGAAGAAAAAACCAUAGUGUUUUUCUUUUCUUUUUUCCCCUUAGCUUCUUCCUCUUUCUGAUUAGAUUCUUUCACAGGGUUAUGGUGGAGAGAUGGUGGAGAAUCACAUCCAUAAGCAGUUCCUUUGAGAGAGAUAGAGAGAGAGAGAGGAAGGAGUGUGAAGAGAAAAGGAGGAUUUCUUUUUUUUUAUUCUAUUUAAAAAAGCAGUUCUUUUUUUUAUUCUACUUAAAAGUUCUGUAAUUAAGUUGGAGCUCACCAUUAGGUAGAGGGCUUAGAGGCACCCGGCGGCGUCGCGUGCAGCUUCGCGGACUGAGGAGUCUGAGGGGAGGUCUCUGACGCGCUUGACGAGGUGGGCGACGAUCCUGGGGAUGUGUUUGGCGGCGGCGCCAGGGUGGGCGGCGCAGUGGGCGGUGAGGAGGAGGAGGGAUUCGCGGCGCGCGGCGGCGGAGGGGAGCGGCGCGGAGGGGUCGUGGGCGAGGUCGGCGACGAGCAUGGGCACACCCUCGGGGCUUCACAACUUAUCUGUUUUUAUUUUUUUUAUUUCUGAUAUUAUGUUUUUUUUUUUAUUAUUAUUUACUCAAUAGAAAGUUCAAAAUAUCUUUUUUUUUAUAAUAAAAAAUAUUAUUAUCUAGGUAAACUUCUGAUUAUUUUUUUUACUCUAAUUUUUAUUCUCUUUUUUCACAAUUUUUCUAGAGCAUAUGACCCAUUUUUACUUUAUUUAAUCAUAUUUUUUCUUAACCAUACUGUAAAAAUAUAAUAUCUAGGUGAAUCUCUUUUUGUUAAAUAGAAAAUAAUCACAUGCUCCACAACUUCUUUUGUGACAUGUAUUCUUUUUUUUAUCUUGUUAAAAAAAAAAACACAACAUUUAGAUAAACUUUACUUUUUUUUAACUAUAAAUUUUUUUUAUUUUAUAUUUCUACUUAACUGUUUCAUUAUAAUUGUACUUAACUAUGAUAUAAAAUUAAUCGUUAACCGCAGCGAAGCGCGGGUUCUAUACUAGUUAUUAAUAAUAUUUUACUAAAAUUUUAAAAAGGGCUUGUAAACUUCACAACACUUUGCAUAAGGGUAGAGGUGUAAAACUGUCAUGCCUCGGGUCUCCAUUUUUCUCGAGCUCGCCAAUAGAUCUGCCGUAUACAUAAAAUUUUUUUAUGUAUACGAAGCGAUAGCUGAACCUGCAACAUAUAAGUACAACUACAAGAGAGUAACAGAGCUAAUAAAAUAGAAAUACAUAUAUAAGACCAACUGUACAAAUUAAAUAAGAGGUACAAACUCAGCUCCUCACUCUACAGUAUCUACAACUAUAUGUACAUUGCUACAAAAAGAAACUAUCUCCAAAAGGGUGCUCCUCUAGCAUGAUGACCGGGGUGGACGGGAAUUUAACUCGCAACUUCCUUGCCUCAAUCAGAUGCGGCAGCGUCAGCGACAGUCGAAGGCUCUGCAAAAAGAAUAAUAACAGUGAGUGUGAACAACUAUUAAGCUAGUAGUACUCAGUGGGUACGUCACCAACCUCAAUGGCCUACCUACUAAGUCUAUGAGACAAUAGUAAAGCUAGCAGGUAAAAGAAACAGUGAAUACUACAAAAAAUCUUGCAUUAAGGACACUUUAUAUAAUAAUUAGCGAUGCUUUAAAGUGUCGGCAAAAAUAAUCCUGACACUUGUAAAAGCGUCGAGCAAAGAGUCAUUAAAUAAACAUGUCGGGAUAAAUAUACCAACGUUUUAAUAUAGCGUCGGAAAAUUUUUAUAAAUAUUUGAUAAAAAUAUGUUUAUUGGCGAUGCUUAAUCAUAGUGUCAGCAAAUGCAAAAUAUUAAAGACGCCAGAAUAAAGCGUCGUUUAAAAAGCGUCGUCUAAAACAUAUUUUGUUGUAGUAAGCUGAAAGAAACUCUACAGCUAUUAUGUCACUAUACAACCUCUAGUCAUAUCAUGUUCUCUGUAUAUCCAUGCAUCACAAACUAAAAAAUAACUAUCUCAAACCCAAUCCAACAGAGACUGUCUGUACGGCCCGUUCAACCUGUGCCUAAGCUACACCGCACACCACCCUCGAGGUGGCCGGUCCGAGUAACAUGUCCAAAGAGGACAGCUGCGAUAUCAACGCGAGAAAGACAGACUCCGAAGCGGCACUCGUGAGUGCAACCUAACCGAGUAUGCAAGCGCGUCUCUAUUGAGCUCAAGUAGGCUCACAGGCUAUAAUCAAAGCGGAUUGUCAAUAAAUGAAGGAAUCAAAGCUCACGUGCCCUCGGUACAAUCAGAUGCAAUAAGUAUAGAUUUGGGUCCAUCGUCAAUCCCGACAGCACCCGUCAGUACGGAAUAGCCUAAACUAUGCUAUAAAAAUGAGGUUAGCAUCUCAGCACGAGCGAAAUCUCAGCCUACACUAGUCUAAGUAUUCACGACGCACUAAUCGCGGUGAUACAGAAGAGAAAUCAUGUCAUGCCCCAGGAUCUUUUGACAAAUCCUCUUUAAGAAAAGCAAGCGAAAACGUGUUGGUUUUGUGACUCUUGUACUUGAUGACCUACACGGUCGGCAUACCCUAAGGGGUAGGAAUGUCGGCUAGUUGCCGAUGGUUGGCUAUUGAGUAUAUCAGUAUCGAUCGCCACUGCUCGUACGCAUUUCACGAACACCAGGGGUUUGAUCCACCGCAAAGGGGUGUUCUUUUCUGGAAAAGUGGUUAGGAGUGUCAGCCCGUGGGCCCAGGAACUUAUGCUAGGGUUAUAUGCAGGUUAGAGUGGUAGUGGCACAGGACUGAGGUCUUUGGACCGACAUGGCGGUUACUGCAUUGGAUAUUUUGGGACUGAACGUCCGGUUGAUACAUUCAUAUACAGUAGCUGUCACGCCCCACGACCCGCCAAUUUGGUCGGAUCCGGGCACGUCGAUCAGAUGCCGAACGGAUAGCACCUCCCCUGUUCGCCCAAGGCUCAACAAUAGCAAUCAUGUACAAGAGUCUGCCCAGGAAAAACUCUAACAACAUACAUGAUCAAUGCGAAGCACCACAAGUGCUAUACAAUUAAGAGCAAGAAUCACAAGUAACAUACAAUGAAAUAAAGAGAGAUACAUCUAGCUAUUACAUCCGCACGGCAUUCAACAUGUAGAUCCUUGAUUACAUUUACAUCUCCAACAUGAAUAUACAUGGUGAUCUCCAAAAUACAUAAGAAACUCCCAAAAUACAUACAUCACUAGCAACCUCACCAUCAAAAUACAUAAGUCACUCGAACCAUAAUACAUAACCUCUCAAAAUGGUACCCGACUCUAAUGCACAUAGAAGUAACUAGCUAGCUAGGGCACUAUGGCCUUACCAUGGUCCUCUGCCGGUACACUCUCGCUAGGCCCUGCAACAAAAUAGGGUGAGAACUAUAUAAAUAUAGUUUCCAGUGGGUUCGGCCGCCGACACAGCCGAUCUUCCCACUAGGUCCAAGUAGGUACAAGCAGAUAGAUAGAUAGAUAGAUAUGAAAUUGAAGUGUAACAUAGUAAAGUAAUCUGCAACAUUCUACUAUGCCGUCAAUAACCAAUGGAAUGAGCUACAACAUAGUAUAUGAUCUAUGCAUCAAUAAUUCAUUGUAUGAGCAACUACAUAGUAUGCAAUCUACACAUGCUACUAUGUCUCAAAUGUCAAAUGGAUGAGCUACUACAUAGUAAUGUAUCCUGCAACAUGCUACUAUGCCUCAAAUAUCCAAGUACCAUAUCCAAGUGAAAUGCAUAAGCUACUACAUAGUAUACAUUCUACACAUGAUACUAUGACUCAAUAAUCAAAUGUAUGAACGAGCUACUACAUAGUGCGUCGUGCAACUAUACCUCGAUAAUCAGAAUGAACGACCCACUACAUAGUGCGUCGUGCAACCAUGUCUCGAUAGUAUCCAAUCUCAUGGCCAACCUGAAGGUUGCUACCCCGACUUACAUCUCAAAUCUCGGUAGUGGGGAGACUCUAUGCUACACCCACCCAAGACCCGUCUACGGGACAACUACGUCUGUCCCAACACGACUACUACUCCGGAGCUCACUACUUGGGUGGAACGACCACGCCAAGGUUAUACAGACUAUGUGAGUAUGAUCCAAUCUCUACACUGGAGGAUACCCUAUCUAUUAGGGCCACAAUGCCUCAACUGCACUAAUGCCAAAUGCAUAAUGUCCACAACAUGACAAUCGGGAAAAAUCUACUAUCCUUAGGUUUAAAUGCCAUAGUGUUCCACUACACUAGAUUUGAUGCCACUCAUUUAUGCCAUGAUGUUGUAUGUGUCUCAAUACACUAGAUCGACAUGCCACUCGUCCAUAUUAUAGUGUCUCUAUUACACUAGUCCAAAUGCCACUCAUCUAGGCCAUUUACAUGUCCAAGUUCAUCAUCAUUUUGUCACUAGGAUUCUUGUCACAAGACCCAAUCCUCAUGCAACCUAAGAUCAAGUGUCAAGCCCACAAUGUUACACAACCUAGGUAACAUGCAAGGAAUGGAAAUCCAAUCAUCUACUAAUCCUAUAAUGCACAAUGUAUCAACAUAUGAGAAUAAGAUCAAAUACAUAGAACUUAGACAUAAAAGGAAACCCGGUUGCUUCGGGAUAGACACCCCCCACCUUUAGGUGAUGUCACGAUGCUACGAUUUCGGUUUCGUGAUUUUUGGAAGCUUAUGCCGCGAGCUACGGCAAUCUGUACCGAAAUCGGCCUUUUCUUCAAUAUCUUCACGUAGGCUCGACGAAUCGCCAAACCGACUUCACCAACGCAUUCAUAUACCUAGCAAUUAGGUUUGUAUAGGGUUAAUUUAGAUCAAACCCCACUAGUGAGCAAAACCCCAUUUUUGUAGCCCUAAAACCCCAUUAUUGCAAAGUGCUUCAUCUAGCUCAUUACUCUUGCAAUAAAUGGAAAUAGCCACAUCUAGGGGUCCAUUAAAUUCCACUCCUUGGGUUUAUAAAUCCAUCCUUAGCAUUCUACCAUGAGAGGGGUUCAAGAGCUUACCUCUACAAGCUAUUCCUCCCAAGCUAAGGAAGAAGAAGGUGAUGAUGCUCCAUCUCAAAGCUCUAGUCUCCUUUUUUCUCCUCCUCUUGCCUUCCUCCUUGAAGAAAGAGAGAGAGAGAGAAACACCUUAGAGAGAGAGAGAGAGAGAGAGUUUAGGGUUGAUGGAAUGAGAGAAAAUGAGAGAGACAUCCCUCAUAUAACUCCCCCUUAUAGCCAAAUUGCCAAAAGCCCCCUAAACUAUGCAAACUGCUCUAAACUGGGUAUUUUCGGGUCUCGGGGACCGGUCCUUGGCUUGAGGGACCGGACCUCGUAGGUCCAAAAAUUCUGCAUUUCCAAACUUAGCUAAAAUUUCAGCCUUUUCGCCAAUUUUGGUAUGUUUUCGCUCAUUUUCACUCCGUGGGUCUCCGAUUCAUUUCAAAUCGAACCGAGGCUCUCAAAACAUGUUUUCAAGCGCGUUUACAUCAUAUUUUCAUCCACGCUAAUGCCGGAUUUAGUCCAUGGUCCAACAUAGCCUUUCGGGUCCCGUUUUCGCCCCUACGCGCUCCGAAAAAGCCUGAAUGCUUCCGAACUUCACCGAAACAUUCUAAUGGCUUUCCAAACCAACAUAUCCCGUAACUUCAUAACUUUAGAAGUUCGGUAUGUUACACAUUGAGGUUCUCAUUCCUUACCUCCUCCCCUCCUUAAAAAGAGUUUCGUCCUCGAAACUCAAAUCACUCAUCCAUUCGAGUUAUCGAGCGACAGAGGGUAUUAAUGCACUUUUCCACUCCGGAGUGGCCUUCCUCUUGUCGGAACUAUCCAAAGGCCCAUUAUGGAGGAUGUGAGACCAAACUCACUCACUUUUGCCAAAUGCAACACUAAAAGUGCAUUACGGCUCCGUGCCCUUGGUGGCAGCGUAAGUCGAUACUUAAUGACUCUACACGCUUCAACACCACUCGCAGACCAACAUGCAAAGGACUUCUCUUUGCAUUUCACACCCCAAUCAGGGAACACACUCCGAUUCUAUCACCGGCAUUGCCUAGAAGCAAUAUCAUUGGUGCAUCGACCAAUCGCGAGUGCUACUAUCAUAAUCGGAUCUUUCCUCUACUACGAGAUGGCACAAUUCUCAAGAGAGCAUCAUCCGCAAUCUCACGUGGCUAUCCGGUAUUCAAGUGUCUCCAAGAGACCACUUUACUUUCUCUUUCAAUCGCCACGACCAAUAUCAAAUCGCUCUACAACGAGCUCACAUGAACAUUCUGUUCGCGAAUCCAAGCCAAACUCCUCGACAGAGUUAUUGGCCAAACCGAUUACCUCGGUUUCCAUGGGUGGACCAACAGUCACCAACUCUACAUAGGCCUAUAGCCUAAACCUGUCGUGAUACUCGUAACGUCUCUCGCUCGCAAGCGUAGACCCAAUCAUAACUGGGCGAAAUUCUCACUUGGGAAUUGGCACACACUCCUACCAGGAGCAACCAUAACCCCAAACCUCAUCAAACCUCAGGUUGGGUCACUACACACUCGGUGUAUCCUCGAUAUCGCGAUCCAACAGGUGGCAUUCCACGUUCCCGGGUCUAAGCUCGAACUACCGUCCUCACCAAAACUCUGCCCUACUCGCAGGUACCGAGCCGCUGUCAAUCACAGCUGACUGCGCCUGUCCAUUGGGCCCAGGCUCCACAGUCCACAAAUGGUCCAGGCACGGGUCGUCCCCAAGCAACACUCGCCGUCGUCGUCCUACACAACACGCUCUACCGAGCCACAUGCACUACCACCGGCUCCUAUGCACCUAGUACGAGCCAGUAGCCCUACGAGUGAUCCAUGACCCACUUCACACUUAGCCAUACUGAAGUGCUACUGCCAUCUCACUCUCCUUCGGCUGAAUCAAAUCUGCACUCCACGAGUAUCUAUACUCGCGCGCUCUACGCCUCUACAGCGUUCCACACGAAGCCCAGCAUUAGGCAACCUUGCCCAUGCACACAGGUUACACAAGCACGACUCACCUACCUCAAUUCGAGGUACUACCAGGCCCACGCGCCUGUACCCGGCAACUAAUUGGCUACUCUCUCAACAGUGAUUCUACUUUCACUGUUCGAUCUACCGAAACAACAUUCGUAACACUCGGACUACUCGGGUAUCCACAAGUAUCAUGGCUCAACUCUCGCAAUCUACUGAUCACAUUGCCUUGAGAGUCGCUUCACCAUUUCCUCUCUAUCACGAGUCUCAUCUCUUGUCCAAGAACCACCACUAGCAAUUUGCUAGUGCCAUCUAGCUCUCUACCUGCUCCAGCAGACACUACACUCUCACACGGAAGCAUGCCCAGGUAUUUUUACCUACCCGUCCACUGGUCCCUACUAUACUGAUGCAUAAAUAGUAGCAACAGACCAUAACAAUGCAUGCAAUGUUCCUCGACCUGGGUCGCGCCCUCAUGGCCACUCGGCACACGCCGUGGACCCUUCGAUCCGCCAUGUCCUCAUAACUCACUCUCCCGACCAUGCUAUAGGUGGCACACCCGCAGGCUAUCUCGGAGAGGAGAAGGCAGUCGCCAACGCCAAGGUCCGGUCUUCCCCUCAGCGGCGCUCAUCUUGCCCAUGGCCCGGCCGCCCACAAUGCCCAAUCCAUGACUUCGGCAAAAGUUUGCAACUUAAGAGUAUGCACAACUUUGGAAAUCUCCGGCCAAAGUCCUCGUACAAGCGAUCAGCUUGAUCCUGUCAUCCCGCACCACAUUCGGGACACAACUCACGAUACGGGAGAACUCCUGCUCGCACUAAGUAUAGAUCCUCAAACAGAGUUUCGAUGGAAUCAAUCCACAACUCCACAAUCCACGGAUCUACAUCCUCUCCAUCAAAGGUAGGCGGAUCAAAUUCCUUGAAAAUCAUGAGGGCCGCCAAAGCUCGCUCCCUCACCGCCUCCACCUUUGAAGUGUUAGAAAUCGGAUUGCCCGACUCUGACAGAAACACCUCUGUCGCGACUCCCAGCCAUACUCGACGAGCCAAAACUGGUGCGGUCACCAAUCGACCAACCGUUUCUUGGAGUCUCUUAAUCCGCUCCUCCUGGCGCACGACAGCCUCUUGCUGUCGUUGCACCAAUUCGACUCAUUGCCUUGCCACUCCUAUGAGUGGCGAGCCGCUCGUGAAGUCCUAAGUCUUCGCUUGCCUCGGACUGCUCAAGGACAUCACUUGUCCUAUCCCGUGCCGAUCUAGACGAAGAUCGCCUACGCGGUACCAUCGUCGAUCUCCUAAACCGCAACAACACAGUUGGUCUCGACCCUCAAGGUCGAACACGUAACAACUAACAUUGACUCGACUCAAAUCAGGCGAAAGUCAUACAAGGGUGCCUAUUCUCAUCACUCGGUUUCAUGUUGUAUGCAUCCGACAUGAACACCCUCUGUCGAGAAUAAACUGAACCUUGAAUCCACCUCUAACAUCCGUCUUAGAGGUUUACUAACUUGACCUAAUCGAUCAAUCUUUCGCCACAACGCAUAGGUUCACGUCACUCACGCACAUAUGGCCUUAUGGUUUACCAACCUAGGGUCUCCUAGGUCAAUCCUAGACUCUCUCUUUAUUUGCUCUUAACUUGCUCUGAUACCAUUUUAUCUGUCACGCCCCGUGACCCGCCAAUUUGGUCAGAUCCGCGCACGUCGAUCAGACGCCGAACGGAUAGCACCUUCCCUGUCUGCCCAAGGCUCAACAAUAGCAAUCAUGUACAAGAGUCUGCCCAGGAAAAACUCUAACAACAUACAUGAUCAAUGCAAAGCGCCACAAGUGCUAUAUAAUUAAGAGCAAGAAUCACAAGUAACAUACAAGUGAAAUAAAGAGAGAUACAUCUAGCUAUUACAUCCGCAAGGCAUUCAACAUUUAGUCCUUGAUUACAUUUACAUCUCCAACAUGAAUAUACAUGGUGAUCUCCAAAAUACAUAAGCAACUCCCAAAAUACAUACAUCACUAGCAACCUCACCAUCAAAGUACAUAAGUCACUCGAACCGUAACACAUAACCUCUCAAAAUGGUACCCGACUCUAAUGCACAUAGGAGGUAACUAGCUAGCUAGGGCACUAUGCCCUUAUCACGGUCCUCUGCCGGUACACUCUCGCUAGGCCCUGCAACAAAGUGGGGUGAGAACUAUAUAAAUAUAGUUCCCAGUGGGUUCGGCCACCGACACAGCCGAUCUUCCCACUAGGUCCAAGCAGGCACAAGCAGAUAGAUAGAUAGAUAGAUAUGAGAUUGAAGUGCAACAUAGUAAAGUAAUCUGCAACAUUCUACUAUGCCUUCAGUAACCAAUGGAAUGAGCUACAACAUAGUAUAAGAUCUAUGCUUCAAUAAUCCAAUGUAUGAGCAAUUACAUAGUAUGCAAUCUACACAUGCUACUAUGCCUCAAAUGUCAAAUGGAUGAGCUACUACAUAGUAAUGUAUCCUGCAACAUGCUACUAUGCCUCAAAUAUCCAAAUACCAUAUCCAAGUGAAAUGUAUGAGCUACUACAUAGUAAUGUAUCCUGCAACAUGCUACUAUGCCUUAAAUAUCCAAAUACCAUAUCCAAAUGAAAUGCAUGAGCUACUACAUAGUAUACAUUCUACACAUGAUACUAUGCCUCAAUAAUCAAAUGUAUGAACGAGCUACUACAUAGUGUGUCGUGCAACUAUGCCUUGAUAAUCAGAAUGAACGAGCCACUACAUAGUGCGUCGUGCAACUAUGCCUCGAUAGUAUCCAAUCUCAUGGCUAACCCGAAGGUUGCUACCCGGACUCAUAUCUCAAAUCUCGCUAGUGGGGAGACUCUGUACUACACCCACCCGAGACCCGUCUGCGGGACAACUACGUCUGUCCCAACGCGACUACUACUCCGAAACUCACAACAUGGGUGGAGCGACCACGCCAAGGUUACACAGACUAUGUGAGUAUGAUCCAAUCCCCACACUGGAGGAUACCCUAUCUACUAGGGCCACAUUGCCUCAACUGCACUAAUGCCAAAUGCAUAAUGUCCACAACAUGACAAUCGAAAAAAAUCUACUACUCCUAUGUUCAAAUGCCAUAGUGUUCCACUACACUAGAUUUGAUGCCACUCAUUUAGGUCAUGAUGUUAUAUGUGUCUCAAUGCACUAAAUCAACAUGCCACUCUGUAGCAUACUGGACCUUUGCAAAUUGCGAGGUUCGAGUAUUUGAUAUGUAUUCUGAACUUUUCCACACUUGGUGGAAGGUCGUAGAUGGUAUUCCGGCCUAAAAGUUCGAUCGCUAGAGUUUUGGUAAGUCCUGAGAGUUUUCACUCUCGGGGACCGGUCCCUGAUAUGAGAAACCGGUCCCCUCAGAACAGUGCUGUGGUAGGACUUGAGGCAACCGGUCCCUGGCUGGGAGAGACCGGUUCCCGAACGCGUGUUUUGCGAGAAGCGUUCGAGAGACCGGUCCCUUGCGGGGAGAGAUCGGUUCCCGAACGUUGGUUUUGCGGGGCAGGCUGAGGGACCGGUCCCAGGUGUCGGGGAGACCGGUCCCUCAGCAUGAAAACUGCCCAGACCAGGCAGUGCACAGGUUGCAUUUUAGAGGGACCUAGGUGGAUUUUGUUACAUUUGAAGGCUUAUAGAGCCUUUUCUCUCCCUCUAACCCUCAUUUUCACCCUCCUUACACUUCUAGAGAGAGAAGAAGAAGGAGAAGAAGAAGGAGAAGUUGGAGAGCUAGCUUGAGGGAGCCUUGGAGCAUCUUCCUCUUUCCUAUUUCUCACUUUUGGAGGCUUAGAGCUUGGACUUGGAGCUUUGUGGUGGAUUAAUCUUCAAUCCUAAAACAUUUUGAGCUUGGUUUGGAUCUCCUCUUGAGGUUAGUUGCUUAUUUCUCCCCUUUAGACCUAUUUUUGGUAGAUUUUGGGAGAUGAAACUCUAGAUUUGGAUUUUAGGGUUUAUUUUCGGGAUUUUUGAUUUGAGGGCUUGGAGACCUAAUUGAUGGGUUUAGAACCUUCCUCUAGGUUGGGUUGGAAGGGUUCUUGCCCUCUUUGGAAGCUUGGGCAGGGAUUUCAUCACACGAGGUGAGUUAUGCCCUUUAUGCUUAGAUGGUUUAAGAUUGAGCUUUUUGAUGUUCGUUUCGAUUGUGUAACUCUUGUUCCUACAUCUUUAGGGUGCUAGGAGACUAGUGGACACCUCCGUUCGGCGAAACGAAGAGUUUCGAUUUUCGGUGGGUUUGGCUACAUGAAAACGGGGCGAAAUAGCCCCCAUGUUUUCUAUACUUGUUGUAAUGUCAUUUUAAAUGCAACUCUAUGCUUAAUGGAAAUUAUGUGAAUUUUAGAACACUUAAAAUGCAUGUGUUAUGUAUAAGAAAAUUUGCACUCUAUAUAGUAGAGCAUUCUGGGUAUUGUUACAUGCAUUUGGGUAGUGUUCGCAUUAGUCGUUUGGAAACAUGCUUCAUAUGUUUAAAGUGGCUCAAUUAUCAUUUGUGAACACUUGGGUUAAGCUUGGACUUGUAAAUGAAAGUGUUAUAAAGGGGCACUUAGACUAGCACACUAUGAGACUAUUAUUUUGAGACUUAGAGAUAGGCCAUGGACAUCUACUACUUUUCAUGUUUAAGACAUGAUGACAUAGAGAUAGGCCUAUGAGAAAGUUGUGACAUAUUCCAUGUUGUUAGACAUGAGGACUUAGUACUUGAGACGGAUCUUUCGUUACUUGCCAUUGUGCUCAUUCGCACAUGCUUGUGAGGGUCGCUCCCUACAGCCGGCACCCGGAGAUGGCCAUCGCGAUACAUAUUCCCGUGCGGGAUUGGACGCUGAAGGGAUUGCCGGGGGAAAGGCUCAUUCCUACAGUGGGGAUGUUGACUACCACUGGGCCAUUAGCUCGCACCGCCAGACAUCCUACGGUGGUUCUCAGGGCCAGACAGCCUCGGCGGUCUCUCCCAGAUUUGAUUUGAGCAUUCAUCACGCCAUGUGACAUUGAUUAGAUAUAAACAAUAACAUCUUUACUAUUUGACUUAUGGACAUCAUACACGCGAUGCUUGUACAUUCAUGACGAGAAUAGCUUUUCUUAGUUAUACUAAAUCAUGCUAAGUAGAGAUAUCAUGUGGUAGCAAAUAUUCAAUGUUAUUUACUUGCGUGACCUAUCGUUUUGUUUAUUUUGCUUACUGACACCUUUUUUAGUUUGGGCCUAGUGGUGCAUUCACUGAAGCCAGUAAUUGCCCACUGGGAAUAUUUAUUUUAAUAUCUCACGCCCCCCUGUUUUAUGGUUUUAUUUCAAGCCUUCGCACGCGGCGGAGUCACGGGAUCGCGGCAAGGGAGUCGCGUAGCUAGUUAGCGGGGAGCUACUUUUGAGCUAGUGGUUUACUCUUUCUUAUUGUAUUAGGAAGAGAGAUUUUGAGUAUCAUGUAUAGAGAGACCACCUAUAUACUCUUUAGUUUAGUUUUUGUAUUUAGGAUUUCCUUUGUACUACUUUAUGGCUUUAUUAGUGAUUUCAGUUUUAUACUUACCCCCUGUGUAGAACUUAGUUAAUUACUUUGCUCUGAUAUCGUUAGAUUCCUUUGUUCUACUGCUGUAAUACACUGGAUCUUAGCAAAUUGCAAGAUUCGAUGUGUUUGAUCUGUGUGUGGAGCUUUUCCACAUUUUUGGAGGGUCGUUGUUAGUUGUCCGACCGUGGCACGCACCCGAGGGUGUUGGUUUGAGACGUGGCACCAAAAUCCUAAAUGGAAUUUUUGGUCAGCCUCGAUAGCCUGCAGCAGGGCUUGACCGGAACAAGACCUGGUCUUGUCCGGUACAAGGAGUGAUGGUUGUACCGGUACAGCCAUCGGGCUUGUACCGGUACAGAGACGCAGACCGCGCGACCCGAGCCUCGGGUUUGCAUUUUCGCAGGGCUUGUACCGGUACAAGAGCCCGUGUACCGGUACAAGGAGGCAGAUUUCGUGCAGUUUGAACUGCAGGGGGUUUUUCGCGAUUGUAGCUUAUCUAUUAGUAACCCCACGCCCCUUAGGGCUUCCCUGAGCUUCACAGCAGCAGGAGAAGAGGUAGGGGAGUUCUCCACACCCUCCCUCUCUAUUUCUUUGAUCUUGGUUGGUUUAAUUUUUGAUUUAAGCCUCUCUUUUCCCUCUUUUUGCUUCUUGGUGUUCUCCCUCCAUAGAAGGAGCUUGAAGCUUGGUUUUGGAGCUUGUUUGAGGGGAGAUUUUCAGAUUUUGGGGACUUGAACACUUGUUGGAGGCUUCCAAAGAGUUUAGAAGCUUAAUCUUUUUCUUUGAUCCUUAAUUUAUUGGAUUUCUUGAGAUGAAACCCUAGAUUGUGAUAUUAGGGCUUAUUUUGGGUAUUUUGAAUCUAGGGCUUUUGAAGCUAGAUUGAGUGGAUUAGAGGCUUCCAUUAGGUUGGAUUGGAUGAACCCUAGCUCUCUUUUGGAGCUUUAGAGGAGAUUUUUGCACUAGAGGUGAGUUUUUCUCGCCUAUGCUUGAGUAGCUUAAUGAUUGAGCUAGGUAUUGUUCGUUUUACCCGUAUGACACAUGUUUCUAUACCUCUAGUGUACUAGGAGAUUAGAGGACACCCUCGUUGGAGCGAACGAGGAGUUUCGUCGUCAUCGGUGGGUUUGGCUUCGUGAAAAUGGAGCGAAAUGGCCCCUAUGCUCUUUACACUUGUCGUAAAAUAUUUUUAAGUUCAUUUCUAUGUUACAUGGAAUUUAUAUGAAUUAUAGAACACUUAAAAUGCAUGCCUUGUGUAUUAUGAAAAUUUCACUAUAUAGUAGAGCUAUAUGAGUAGAAUGCAUGCAUACGGGAAAAAUGUUUAUUUUUGCAAGUGAAAAAUACAUCUCUUAUGAGGAUGAUGACUUGGAAUAUGUACUUUGGAACAUAGUUGCCAUGCUUGGAACUUGUUGAACAAAAGUGUCAUUAAGCGGCACUUGGAACUAGCAAACUGUUAAACUGCAACAUAGAGACAUAUUGAUAGGCCACUAUGUAUUUGCUAUAUUCCAUGUUAGAGACAUGAUGACAUAGAGAUAGGCCAUUGAGAUACUUGAUAUAUUCCAUGUUGUUAGACAUGAGGACUUGGUACUUGAGACGGAUCAUUGCUUGCUUGCCAUUUGUGCUCAUUCGCACAUGCUUGUGAGGGUCGCUCCCUACAAGCCGGCACUCCGGAGAUAGCCAUCGCGACAUAUGCUCGCCCGUGCGGGAUUGGGCGCCGAAGUGGAUUGCCGUGGGGGAGGCUCAUCCCUAGAGUGGGGAUGUUGACUACCACGGGGCCAUUAGGCACGGCGCAGGCCAGACAGCCUUCGGGUGGGUCUUAUAUGAUUGGGACUUGGUGACAGAACAUGCUAUGUGAACUUUAUAACUGUUAAAGUGGACUUGGACUAGAAUAGUAAACAAUGACAUCUUUACUAUUACAUUGUGGACUUUGGGUAGUUGCAUAAUCAUGCUUUAUAUGUUGGGUGUUCAUGUGCAUAUAGCUAGUAGUUGCUUCCUUACUUAUGUAAAUUAUGCUAAGUAGAGGUAUCAUGAUUAUUGGGUACUCGUUUAUUUAUUUACUUACAGUGCAUUUAUCGCUUUUGUUAUAAUGUACACUGACCCUUUUUCUAUAGUUUCGGGCCUAGUGGUGCAUUUCACUGAAGUCAGUAAUUGCCCACUGGGAACUAUUUUUAAUAGUUCUCACGCCCCUGUUUCUAUGUUUCCUUUUCAGAGCCUUCGGCACCGGCGGAGGCACGGGAUCGCGGCAAGGGUGUCGCGUAGCUAGCUCGCGGAGAGUUCUUUUGCGCUAGGUGGUUACUCCUCCAUUUUUAUAUUUUGUGAGAGGGGGAGAGGUUUUGUACCAUGUAUAGAGAGACCACCUUGUACUCCUUUUAGCACUUGUUAUGGGAUCCCUAUUGUUCUUACUUUAUGUUUUUACUUAGUGGACUUUCAGCUUUAUGUCCUUUCCUUGUUAUAGAACUAGUUAUACAAUGCUCUGAUAUCUCUAGAUCUCUUGUAUUAUUGUUUGAAAUUUUUGUAGACGCCUUAUAUGUUUUAGACGUAUGGCGGGUCUGGACACGCGCCGGGUAGGCUUUCGCUGAGCCCCGGGGCGUGACAACUGCUUUAUUUAUCGUUUUGUUUUAGACGCCUUGUAUGUUUUAGACAUAUGGCGGGUCUGAGUACGCGCCGGGCGGGCUUCCGCUGUGUCCCGAGGCGUGACAGAUUAGUAUCAGAGCCUAGGGUUGAGUCUUAGUGGACCUAGCAAACCUUAGGCCGGUUGGACUAUAGGAAAUAGGCUCGUGAGGGAUGAGGUCUAUUUGACUUGUAAGCGAAAGUAUCGUGAUUGGGUAUCUUGACAACUUUAGAAAGUGGAGUUAAAUUGAAGUGUAUAGCUCCUAACUUCGCGGAGGGUUACGUUGGCGGCCGACAACGUAACAUCGGGAGUUAGUAGUGAAGUACAUUUCAUUACUUUCGCAUGAUUUGGGGCAUUACCUUCUUGAGUGGGGAUUCGAUGUCGUGAGUUUACUAACUUACGCUUUUAUGAUAUUGUAGUGUGAUACCAAUUACACGCUCCUAAUUUGCCGGAGCGGAUAACGCGGCAAAUCUGGAGGAGGUCGAGACCUCCGCUACCUCCGAAUCCGGCGAGGUUCGAGAGUUGAGGGGCCAGCUUGCGGCCCUCACUGAUAUGGUGGCACAGCAGACUGAGGCGGCGCGCCGAUAGGAGGCGCGGAUGAAGCGCCUGGAGGAUCUUCUGUUACAGCAGGCGGCGGCUUCCAGGGAGACUCAGGCCCCUACACCGCCAGCACCAGUCGUGAACGUCGCGCCGAGAGCGCCAUCCCCUCGCCCAGUUCUUCACGUGCAGCGCUCGCGGUCGCGCCUUAGGAGGAGGCUAUUGCGACACCACCUGAGGCCUCCGGUUGGAGCAGCUUUUCCUACCUUGGUCGAGGGAGCGGAAAGGGACAGACUGAUGGAACGCCUCAACGAGUUCAAGAGGUGCAGUCCUCGGAUCUUCGAUGGCGAGAAGGUCGACCACUGGAUCGUGGAGAAGUGGUUGAUGCAUAUGGAGAAGCUCUUCCGCGACACCUUCGUGGAGGAGAGAGAUCGAGUUUGGCUCACCACACACCAUUUGGACGGCGAGGCCUACCGCUGGUGGGUGGAUCUCCAGGAGAACCCCAGCACUGAUUUGGCGGCUAUUACGUGGAAGAGGUUCAAGGAGCUUCUUUUGACACACUACUUCCCGACCAGCGUCAAGAGGAAGAUGGAGCAGGAUCUGCGCAACUUGCGCCAAGGUGAUCGGACUGUGGCCGAGUACGAGCGGGAGUUUUCUCGGCUUCUUCACUGCGUGCCUUUCAUCGUGCGAGACGACGAGGACAAGGCCCGCAUCUUCGAGCCAGGGUUGCGACCGUCGAUCUUUCGGUUUGUGCAAUCCUCUAAUCUCCAAACCUAUCGGGAGGUGGUGGAUCGCGCGCUCAUAGUGGAGAGCGGCGCAGCAGAGGUCCAGGAGCGGCAAGAGGCGAUGGACAAAGGUAAGGCCAAGAGGCCUGCGGCAAAGGGUGCGAGCCAGACGCACUCUAGGAGGCCGCCGAAGCAUCCUAGGAGCCAGCAGCGUGGACGCGGCUCAGCAGCGCAGCGAGGAGGUUCUGACCGUCGCCGGCCUUACCCGUGUGUGAUCUGCGGUGGUCCUCAUUUCCCACCGCAGUGUCCACAGCGGGUGGGCAGGUGCUUCCAGUGUGGCCAGGAGGGCGACGUUCGGACUGAGUGCCCGAGAGGUCCUUCACUAGCACCGUCGACUACAUCGGCACCGGCUCUACCAGCCGUCAGCCAUGGGACUCCGUCGACACAGUACCAGCUUGAGCGGCCACCCGUCGAGCGCCAGAGCGAGGGAUUUCGACAGGCCCCGAGUGGGCAUUUGUAUGCCGCUCAGACCGAGCAGGCGGCAGCAGCCAAGAAUGUGAUUGCAGGUAUCAUUUUACUUCAUGGCAUUAGAGUUCGUGCUUUAUUUGAUACCGGUGCAUCGCAUUCAUUUAUAGAUCGGUUGUUUGCCGAGUUGCAUGGCAUCCCUAUAUUUUCUUUGUUGCAUCCGGGACGUGUAGUUGUCCCCGACCACUCUUUGGAUAUUAGAGAGUAUUGUCCCAGUUGCUCUAUUUGGGUAGGAGAUUGGAUCAUGCCCGUAGAUUUGCUAGCCCUGUGCAAGCUAGGGGAUUUCGAUGUGGUCUUGGGUAUGGAUUGGCUAACCAAGUAUUAUGCCACGAUUGAUUGUAAGAAUCGCACGGUUACUUUUAAAGAACCGGGGCAGACUGAGGUUGUGUUUAGUGGAUGCCGGAGUUCGCUUUUUGCGAUGUCGAUCAGCUCGUCUCGAGCUAGGCAGCUGAUCAGCCGAUGAUGUGUAGCUUACUUGGCUAGUGUUGUAUUGAGGGGCGAGGAUGACACCCCUAGGAUUGAGGAUAUCCCGGUGGUACGGGAGUUCCAGGACGUGUUUCCAGCUGAGCUACUGGGUAUGCCACCCGAUAGGGAGAUUGAGUUUGUGGUAGAUCUCGUCCCUGGGACUACCCCAAUCUCGAAGGCACCCUAUAGGAUGGCACCGGCGGAGCUGAAGGAGCUGAGGGCACAGCUACAGGAUCUGUUGGACAAGGGCUUCAUUCGACCGAGCGUCUCGCCGUAGGGAGCGCCAGUUUUGUUCGUCAAGAAAAAGGACGGAUCACUUCGCCUAUGUGUGGAUUAUCAUGAGCUUAAUAAAGACACGAUCAAGAAUAAGUAUCCGUUGCCGAGGAUCGAUGACUUGUUUGAUCAGCUUCAAGGAUCAUGUGUGUAUUCCAAGAUAGACUUGCAGUCGGGAUACCACCAGUUAAAGAUCAAACCCGAGGAUGUAUCGAAGACGGCUUUUAGAACACGGUAUGGACACUAUGAGUUCACAGUUAUGCCGUUUGAGCUUACUAAUGCUCCGAUAGCUUUUAUGGAUCUGAUGAACCGUGUUUUUAAGCCUUAUCUAGACAGGUUCGUCGUGGUAUUCAUCGACGACAUUUUGGUUUAUUCCCGAAGUGAUGCGGAUCACGAGGAGCAUUUGAGGCUAGUACUUCAAUUACUUCGGGAAAAGGAGCUUUAUGCCAAGCUGAGAAAGUGUGAAUUUUGGCUUCGAGAAGUAGCCUUUCUUGGACAUUUGAUAUCGAGAUCGGGUAUAGCCGUGGAUCCUAAGAAGAUUGAGGCUAUCAAGGAUUGGCCGAGACCGACGAGUGUCACGGAGAUACGCAGCUUCCUUGGAUUGGCCGAUUACUACCGGAGAUUUGUCGAGGGGUUUGCUAAGCUAUCUACUCUCCUCACGAGGCUCACGCAUAAAGGUGUCAAGUUCAUUUGGAAUGAUGCGUGUGAGAGAAGCUUCCAAGAGCUGAAGCAACGACUGACGACCGCCCCGAUCCUGACCCUACCUGUUGCUGGAGCAGGGUAUGUGGUUUAUAGUGAUGCAUCUCUUAAUGGAUUGGGCUGCGUUUCGAUGCAGGAUGGCAAGGUGAUCGCGUGUGCUUCUCGCCAACUGAAGGAAUAUGAAAAGAAUUACCCUACACACGAUUUGGAGUUGGCGGCCGUAGUUUUCGCAUUGAAGUUAUGGCGCCAUUACUUAUAUGGCGAGCGGUGUGAAGUAUACAUGGAUCACAAGAGCUUGAAGUAUUUGUUCACUCAGAAGGAGUUGAACUUGAGACAGCGCAGAUGGUUGGAGCUGCUCAAGGAUUAUGAUUUGACUAUUCUUUACCACCCGGGCAAGGCUAAUGUAGUGGCGGAUGCGCUAAGUAGGAAAUCUACGGAAAACUUAGCGAUGCAUGUUGUUACUCAACUGCAGUUGAUCGAGCAGAUGAAGCGGUUGGAGUUGGAGUUAGUGACUCCUGAUACACUUUUGAGAUUAAUGACCUUGGUAGUGCAACCUAUGCUCUUGGAUAGAAUUAAAGAGAAGCAAGCUUCUGAUGUGGAGUUGCAAAGGAUUAAAGGUAAAAUGGUUGAUGGUUGUACCGGCGACUACCUUGUGGAUGACCAAGGAUUUACGCGUUUUCGUGGACGGACUUGUGUACCGGCGGAUUCGGAAAUUAAAGAGGAUAUUCUUCAAGAAGCGCACCGAGCGCCCUAUGCUAUACAUCCGGGAGGCAUCAAGAUGUACAAGGACUUGAAGUUGCUUUAUUGGUGGCCCGGGAUGAAAAAGGACGUUUGUGAGUUUGUCGCUCGUUGUCUAACUUGCCAACAAGUAAAGGCUGAGCAUCGAUUAUCCGCGGAAAAACAUCAGAGCUUGCCUAUUCCCGUGUGGAAGUGGGAAAAGAUUACCAUGAAUUUCGUAACUGGAUUGCCCCGCUGUCAGGCCGGGCAUGAUGUUAUAUGGGUGAUCGUGGAUAGGUUGACGAAGUCGGCGCACUUCAUACCUAUUCAUACUACUUGGACCGGAGAAAAGCUCACACAAGUGUACCUUGAUGAGAUUGUGCGACUUCACGGAGUACCUACAUCGAUAGUAUCGGAUCGAGACACUCGGUUUGUGUCUCACUUUUGGAGGAGUCUACAGGACGCCUUGGGCACCCGACUCAACUUGAGCACUGCUUUCCACCCUCAGAGUGAUGGGCAGUCGGAGCGCACCAUUCAGACUUUAGAGGAUAUGCUCCGAGCGUGUGUGAUAGACUUUCAGGAAUGAUGGUCGCAACAUCUACCUAUGGCAGAGUUUGCUUAUAACAACAGUUAUCAAGCAAGCAUUAAGAUGGCGCCAUUUGAAGCACUUUAUGGACGGAAGUGUAGAUCACCACUUCAUUUGAGUGAAGUCGGCGAGAGAUUGGCAUUAGGCCCUGACGUGCUCCAGGAAGCUGAGGACAAGGUUCGAAUUGCUCGGGAGUGACUUUUGACGGCAUAGAGUAGACAGAGGAGCUACGCCGACCGACGACGGCGAGACUUGGAGUUCUAAGUUGGAGACCAUGUUUUCUUGAAGGUCUCGCCGACUAGAGGGAUCAAGAGAUUUGGGAUUCGGGGUAAGUUAAGCUCCCGUUUCAUCGGACCGUAUGAGAUUUUGGAACGUGUAGGUCCGGUAGCGUAUCGACUUGUUCUACCACCGAACCUAUCGGGCAUGCACAACGUCUUUCAUGUAUCGGUCAUUCAGAAGUACGUCUUCGAUCCGACUCAUGUGUUGGAUGCUACACCUGUGGAGUUGCAGGACGAUUUGAGUUUCGAGGAGCAACCCGUGAAGAUUUUGGCUCGUGAGGUGAAAAAGCUGCGGAAUCGGGAUAUUCCGUACGUGAUGGUUCUUUGGAGCAACCACGGGGAGCGGGAGGCCACGGGGGAGCUAGAGAGGCGCUGUGGGAGCGCUAUCCCCAUUUUUUUCAGAUGGAGCUUUGAGGUAUGCUGUCGUUUUGAGUUUUGCGAGCGAAACUCCUUUUUAGGAGGGCUGAAUGUAACACACUGGACCUUUGCAAAUUGCGAGGUUCGAGUGUUUGAUAUGUAUUCCGAACUUUUUCACACUUGGUGGAAGGUCGUAGAUAGUAUUCCGGUCUAAAAGUUCGAUCGCUAGAGUUUUGGCAAGUCUUGAGAGUUUUCACUCUCGGGGACCGGUCCCCUCAGAACAGUGCUGCGGCAGGACUUGAGGCAACCGAUCCCUAGCUGGGAGAGACCGGUUCCCGAACGCGUGUUUUGCUAGAAGGGUUCGAGAGACCGGUCCCUGGCGGGGAGAGACCAGUUCCCGAACGUUGGUUUUGCGGGGCAGGCUGAGAGACCGGUCCCAGGUGUCGGGGAGACCGGUCCCUCAGCACGAAAACUGUCCAGACUGGGCAGUGCACAGGUUGCAUUUUAGAGGGACCUAGGUGGAUUUUGUUACAUUUGAAGGCUUAUAGAGCCUUUCCUCUCCCUCUCACUCUCAUUUUCACCCUCCUUACACUUCUAGAGAGAGAAGAAGAAGGAGAAGAAGAAGGAGAAGUUGGAGAGCAAGCUUGACGGAGCCUUGGAGCAUCUUCCUCUUUCCCAUUUCUCACUUUUAGAGGCUUAGAGCUUGGACUUGGAGCUUUGUGGUGGAUUAAUCUUCAACCCUAAAACAUUUUGAGCUUGGUUUGGAUCUCCUCUUGAGGUUAGUUGCUUAUUUCUCCCCUUUAGACCUAUUUUUGGUAGAUUUUGGGAGAUAGAAUCCUAGAUUUGGAUUUUAGGGUUUAUUUUGGAGAUUUUUGAUUUGAGGGCUUGGAGACCUAAUUGAUGGGUUUAGAACCUUCCUCUAGGUUGGGUUGGAAGGGUUCUUGCCCUCUUUGGAAGCUUGGGCAGGGAUUUCAUCACAAGAGGUGAGUUAUGCCCUUUAUGCUUAGAUGGUUUAAGAUUGAGUUUUUGAUGUUCGUUUCGAUUGUGUAACUCUUGUUCCUACAUCUUUAAGGUGCUAGGAGACUAGUGGACACCUCCGUUCGGCGAAACGAAGAGUUUCGAUUUUCGGUGGGUUUGGCUUCAUGAAAACGGGGCGAAAUAGCCCCCGUGUUUUCUAUACUUGUCGUAACGUCAUUUUAAAUGCAACUCUAUGCUUAAUGGAAAUUAUGUGAAUUUUAGAACACUUAAAAUGCAUGUGUUAUAUAUAAGAAAAUUUGCACUCUAUAUAGUAGAGCAUUCUGGGUAUUGUUACAUGCAUUUGGGUAGUGUUCGCAUUAGUCGUUUGGAAACAUGCUUCAUAUGUUUAAAGUGGCUCAAUUAUACAUUUGUGAACACUUGGGUUAAGCUUGGACUUAGUAAAUGAAAGUGUCAUAAAGGGGCAUUUAGACUAGCACACUAUGAGACUAUUGUUUUGAGACUUAGAGAUAGGCCAUGGACAUCUACUACUUUUCAUAUUUUAGACAUGAUGACAUAGAGAUAGGCCUAUGAGAGAGUUGUGACAUAUUCCAUGUUGUUAGACAUGAGGACUUAGUACUUGAGACGGAUCUUUCGUUACUUGCCAUUGUGCUCAUUCGCACAUGCUUGUGAGGGUCGCUCCCUACAAGCCGGCACUCCGGAGAUGGCCAUCGCGAUACAUAUUCGCCAUGCGGGAUUGGGCGCCGAAGUGGAUUGCCAUGGGAAAGGCUCAUUCCUAGAGUGGGGAUGUUGACUACCACGGGGCCAUUAGGCUCGGCACCGGCCAGACAGCCUACGGGUGGGUCUCAGGGCCAGACAGCCUUCGGGCGGGUCUCUACAGAUUUGAUUUUGAGCAUUCAUCACGCCAUGUGGACAUUGAUUAGAAUAGUAAACAAUGACAUCUUUACUAUUUGAUUUAUGGACAUCAUACUAACGAUGCUUGGGUACAUUCAUACGAGAAUAGCUUUUCUUACUUAUGCAAAAUCAUGCUAAGUAGAGAUAUCAUGUGGUAGCAAAUAUUCAUAUUUAUUUACUUGUCGUACCAAUCGUUUUUGUUUAUUUUGCUUACUGACCCCUUUUUAGUUUGGGCCUAGUGGUGCAUUUCACUGAAGCAAGUAAUUGCCUACUGGGAACUAUUAUUCAAUAGUUCUCACGCCCCCUGUUUUAUGGUUUUAUUUCAGAGCCUUCGGCACCUGCGGAGGCACGGGAUCGCGGCAAGGGAGUUGCGUAGCUAGUUAGCGGGAAGCUACUUUUGAGCUUAGGUGGUUUACUCUUUCUUUUAUUGUAUUAGAAAUAGAGAGAGAUUUUGAGUACCAUGUAUAGAGAGACCACCUAUAUACUCUUUAUGUUUAGUUUUUGUAUUUGGGAUUUCCUUUGUACUACUUUAUGGCUUUAUUAGUGGAUUUCAGUUUUAUACUUACCCCCCCUGUGUAGAACUUAGUUAAUUACUUUGCUCUGAUAUCGUUAGAUUCCUUUAUUCUACUACUUUAUUUAUCAUUUUGUUUUAGACGCCUUGUAUGUUUUAGACAUAUGGCGGGUCUGGGCACGCGCCGGGUGGGCUUCCGCUGGGUCUCGGGGCGUGACACACUCAUCCAUAUUAUAGUGUCUCUAUUAUACUAGUCCAAAUGCCACUCAUCUAGGCCAUUUACAUGUCCAAGUUCAUCAUCAUUAUUGUCACUAUAGGAUUCUUGUCACAAGACCCAAUCCUUAUGUAACCUAAGAUCAAGUAUCAAGCCCACAAUGCUACACAACCUAGGUAACAUGCAAGGAAUGGAAAUGCAAUCAUCUACUAAUCCUAUAAUGCACAAUGUAUCAACAUAUGAGAAUAUGAUCAAAUACAUAGAACUUAGACAUAAAAGGAAACCCGGUUGCUUCGGGAUGGACACCCCCCACCUUUAGGACACCCCACCUUUAGGUGAUGUCUCGAUGCUAUGAUUCCGGUUUCGUGAUUUUUGUAAGCUUACGCCGCGAGUUGCGGCAAUCUAUACCGAAAUCGGCCUUUUCUUCAAUAUCUUCACGUAGGCUCGACGAAUCGCCGAACCGACUUCACCAACGCGUUCGUAUACCUAGCAAUUAGGUUUGUGUAGGGUUAAUUUAGAUCAAACCCUACUAGAUAGCUAAACCCUAUUUUUGGAGCCCUAAAACCCCAUUAUUGCGAAGUCCUUCGUCUAGCUCAUUACUCUUGCAAUAAAUGGAAAUAGCCACAUCUAGGGGUCCAUUAAAUUCCACUCCUAGGGUUUAUAAACCCAUCCUUAGCAUUCUACCAUGAGAGGGGUUAAAGAGCUUACCUCUACAAGCUAUUCCUCCCAAGCUAAGGAAGAAGAUAGUGAUGAUGCUCCACCUCCAAGCUCUAAUCUCCUCCUUUCUCCUCCUCUUGCUUUCCUCCUUGAAGAGAGAGAGAGAGAGAGAGACACCUUAGAGAGAGAGAGAGAGAGAGUUUAGGGUUGAGGGAAUGAGAGAAAAUGAGAGAGACAUCCCUCAUAUAACUCCCCCUUAUAGCCAAAUUGCCAAAAACCCCCUAAACUAUCCAAACUGCACUAAACUCGGCAUUUUAGGGUCUCGGAGACUGGUCCUUGGCUUGAGGGACCGGACCCCGUAGGUCUAAAAAUUCUGCAUUUCCAGACUUAGCUAAAAUUUCAGUCUUUUCGUCAAUUUUGGUCCGUUUUCGCUCAUUUUCGCUCCGUGGGUCUCCGAUUCAUUUCAAAUCGAACCGAGGCUCUUAAAACAUGAUUUCGAGCGCGUUUACAUCAUCUUUUCAUCCACGCUAAUGCUGGAUUUAGUCCAUAGUCCAACAUAGCCUUUCGGGUCCCUUUUUGCGCCUACGCGCUCCGAAAACACCCGAAUGCUUCCGAACUUCACCGAACCAUUCUAAUGGCUUUCCAAACCAACAUACCCCAUAACUUCAUAACUUUAGAAGUUUGGUAUGUUACACAUUGAGGUUCUCAUUCCUUACAGUAGCGGUAGUUGCAUUCUAUAUCCUGCUUUUCUAUUGAUAUUGCUACUGUAUUAUUGUUCAUAGAUAUCUUUAGUUACCAGUGAGUACGCUCGCCUUCGUCGGCUUGCGGUACCCACUGGGAGAUCUUUUGUUGGUUUCUCACCCUCCCCCCCCCCCCCCCCCCCCCCCCCCCCCCCCCCCCCCCCCCCCCCCCCCCCCCCCCCCCCCCCCCCCCCCCCCCCCCCCCCCCCCCCCCCCCCCCCCCCCCCCCCCCCCCCCCCCCCCCCCCCCCCCCCCCCCCCCCCCCCCCCCCCCCCCCCCCCCCCCCCCCCCCCCCCCCCCCCCCCCCCCCCCCCCCCCCCCCCCCCCCCCCCCCCCCCCCCCCCCCCCCCCCCCCCCCCCCCCCCCCCCCCCCCCCCCCCCCCCCCCCCCCCCCCCCCCCCCCCCCCCCCCCCCCCCCCCCCCCCCCCCCCCCCCCCCCCCCCCCCCCCCCCCCCCCCCCCCCCCCCCCCCCCCCCCCCCCCCCCCCCCCCCCCCCCCCCCCCCCCCCCCCCCCCCCCCCCCCCCCCCCCCCCCCCCCCCCCCCCCCCCCCCCCCCCCCCCCCCCAUUUCAGGUGACGUUGCCGGUCCGAGUCGGGACGAGGUAUGAGGCACGUUCUUAGUGGUCGAUAAAGUUCCGGCCCGGUUCACAUUGGUUUAGUUCUAACCCUAUCCUCUCAGAAUAAAUGACUUAGACAUUUUAUGGUUCAGUUGACUUUAUUUCAGUUGGAUAUAUAUGGUUUUGUGAGGUUAAAUAAUAUUGUUUUAUUUAUUAUCACAUGAGUUGUGAAAAUAGUUUCCUACCCUCGUGAUAGCGUUUUAAAGAAAAUGUUUCCGUGUGGAAAAUGGUUUUUAAAAGGUUUUCUUGUGGAAAUGUAAAUGUAUGCUGUGUGUGAAUGAUUUGUGAUUGUACUUGUACUCGUACGACGCUAUGCAAAUAUAGGCGAGACUCUGUCCGUGUGAAUAGUGAUUUUUUUGUAUUUGUGGCGGGUCUGUUAUCCCUUGGGUCAAGGUUUUCAAAAUAAAAAUAUUGGGCAUUUUUUCGUUGAUUUUACAGACUAAAAAGGGACCCCAAGGCGUGAUACCCGAGGGGAUAGGGAGCUGCAGAUAGAGUUCAGUCGUGUAGCAUCCCUGUAGGUAGAGGAGGCCGGUGGCGACGACAGCAUGGUGGUGGGGAAGCGACAACGGCUCGGUUGGAGGGGCUCAACCCGACAUCAAGCUCGGGUUGGUCUACGAGCUCGAGGAGGGGGAAAGGGGGGCGACGCUGCGGUGAUGGAGAGAGGGGUUGCCUCGCUGGAGUUCCCCUGAGGUUGACCACAGUGGUGAUGAUGGCGACGGCUGGGGGCAAGCCCCAGAGAAGGGGGAAAGGCCUGAGAGGGGGAGGGAGGGAAAGAGAUAAAGAGAGAAAAAGACAGAGAGAGGGCCUAUGGCUCGAGGUUCCUCGUUGGCCAAAAAGUCGCCCGAAGAGGGGAAAAAAGAGGCGGCGUGGCGGCGACUGAGGAGGAGAGGGGAGAGGGCAAUAGACAUAGGGUUAGGGUUUCUAUUCCAAUACGUAUAUACAUAUGUAUAAAUAUAGUAAUAUAUAUAUAUAUAUAUAUAUAUAUAUAUAUAUAUAUAGUCCGGCUACUAUGCUAUCGGUAGCACGAAGCGCUUCGUGCUACCAAGUUGUUUUCGAAUGAUGCGGCUUCCAAAUCGACGAUCGGUUCCGUUAGACUUGAUCUACACUAUGAAAGUAUUUGGAAACAAAAUUUCAAUUUUUUCGACAUCAUUUGACUAGUGAUCAAAAGAUCUCAAAUCGACAAUUUUAAUGGCCGAUUGUGGUGUUUUGUGAGUUUAACGGUGUAAAACAAUCAAUGCAAUGAAAAUUUUAUAGAAUUUUUUUUUUUCACUAUUUAGAGUAAGAUCAGUAUAUCUGAUCUUGAAUUUAAAUCUUUUAUCAUCAUUUCUCAUGAGAUUUUUUUUCAGCUGUUCAUUUUAGACUACUUGUUUGAUGGUAAAUAUAUCGAAAAAAUCUGAAAUUUAGUUUCCAAAUACUUUCAAUAGUGUAGAUCAAGUCUAACGGAACCGAUCGUCGAUUUGGAAGCCGCAUCAUCGAAAACAACUUGGUAGCACAGAGCGCUCCGUGCUAUCGAUAGUAUAGUAGCCUAGUUCUAUAUAUAUAUAUAUAUAUAUAUAUAUAUAUAUAUAUAUAUAAACCCCUUUGUGCACAAAUUACAAGUAGGCCCAGAAGUUAGCCUCUCUUAUCCGAAACCCCACAGAAUUGUACUUUUACAGGAAAGCCUUUCUUGCAACCAAUUUUUGCAAAUGCGCAAGAAAAUUGCAUCUUUUUGCGAAAAGAUCCAACAUCCACUUCUCUCUCUCCUUUUCAACUCUGUGUUGUUUUGCACAGAAGUAUCAGAAUUUCGCAAAACUUGAAUUAGCAUGUUUCUCUCUAAGUGCCCUUUCAUUUGAACCCAUCCACUCGCCAACACUCCACAGUUUCUCAUAUGAAAUGAUAGCCUCAACAAGAAGUGCUCUAAUUUCACAAAUUGCUAAAACUGCAAUUUAAUCCCUCUAUGUUCAGAAUUUCAUACUAAAAAUUUACCACUAUGUGCAUCUCGCACAGAUGCACCUACUCGUGGAGUUUCACGCAAUUCGGCACAUGAAAUGUUGUACCUUUUCCAAAAAAACCCAAUUUGCCAAAAUGGCCAAUCUAUGAUGAGAACAGAUUUUCUUGAAAAUCGUGCAUCGGACGUAAAAUCCAUCAGUGCCAUUGGGUCUGACAUAGUCGGACCUUCAAAAAUGAGCUAUUGGAUCAUGCGAAAUAGAGUCUGGUACGCGACAGAAGCCAUCUACACUCAAUAGCCUCUUCCGAAAAUACAAGUUACUAUUCACUUUAAGUGAAAAGUAAUAUUCUCAUAAAAUCUUUAUUUUAAUUUAUUUUUUUUUGAAAUUUGAUGGAUAGUUUUAAGUUAAAAUAUAUAUGAUAACAUUUAAAAGGAUGUCAAAUUUAUAUAGAAAAAAAAUCUCAGUCCUCACACCUAUAAAAGAGGUUAUAGAGAUUAAAAAUGUUCGGUCCUCAAAUAAUGAUGUUGGUGACUUAGUGUCUGAAACUUUGUUGUAAUUUCUCAGUCGACCUUUUAAAUUAUUACAAUCCAGUCUGACAACCUAGUUUAGCUAAUUAAAUAUUGGCACAUUGUUGAUGCAAAAUUAAUGUAGCAUUUUAAUUAUUGGUGUAUAUAUCAUCGAUCACAAUAAUGUAUAUUACUUAUACAUCAGCGGUAUAUAAAUAUUUAGUCAUGUAAAUUAGGUUAUAGAACUUUAUUACAGCAAUUCUAAAAGUUCGAGUUAGAAGUCACAGUAAUUUAAAGUUUAAGGAUCAAAAUAUCAUCCACAUUAUAGUUUAAGGAUGGAAUGUGCAGUUACACUAAAUAGAAGUAAUACACGAUCAUAUAGAAGCUUUGCUUUACAAGUCUUAAAAUAUUAUACUUCUAUUCUAGGCUAAGUGAUGAAGUUUUGGAAGUGGUAGAGAAAAUUCUCUAUGGACCACUAAUUAAUACCGCGCAGGUUUACAAAUAUACCACUCUUAUUUGAGAGAGUGUUUUUCUUUGUGUGAAGGAUAUUGCAUGAGAUUAAUAGCAAGUCAAUUCUUUUCCGAACAUCAAACUAACUUUAAUUUGGAAAGAUAAAAAGAUAAAUCUUAGGAUUUAUUUGGCUCUACUGUAAAGUAUCAUAUUAUAUCUCAGAUAUUGAAGAAGAUUUAAAUCAAAAUUUUCUUUGGCCAGGCAUUUUAAUCUAGUGCUGUUAAAAAUAGUAAUGCAAAAUACAGAGUUGCAUCAUAGAAGAAUGCUUUAGAGCUGGUGUUUGGUUGAUUUUAUUGUAAAAGUAUUGUAAAGUGUAGAAAGAUAUUUGAUAAAUAUUCUGCUGAUGUGCUGUGGAGUGCUUAUAAAGUUAAAAUUACUAAAAUACCCAUCAUUCUAAUUUUCCAAAUAAUAAAAUUUUUAAAGGACAAAAUGCAAAAAAGAUAGGUCAAUUUGCAUAAAAAAUCCACUAGUUUUGUAAUUUUGCAAAAGUGGGCCGCUAUUUUGGUUUUGCAGAUUCAGGCCGAAUUUUCAACAAACUGACCAAAAUACCCUUCUUCCUUUCUCUUUCUUUUCUUUCCUUCGUUUUUUUUUUUUUUUUUCUCUUUUCAAUCCUCAUCACCUCCUCCACUAUCUCUGGCAAUGAUAGUGAGGGCGGCACCACUUCCUCUGUAAGGACUGAGACUUUUGCAGUGUAGCUAAACUCUCAGUUGACGAUGUUUUUGUGUGUAAUUUAAUUACAAAAGCACUCGUCAAAUUUCGGGAGAAAACGAGUUAAAACGGAAAUUCUACGCGAUUUCCAAGUUUCACUUAAAGUGAAUAGUAACUCGAUUUUCCGGAGAAGCCACGGUGUGAAGUUGGCUUCAGGCUCGUAUCAGACUCCGUUCCUAGCGGUCCAAUAGCUCGUUUCGACCGGUUCAGCUGUUCUGGAACUAAUGGAGCUGACGGAUUUUGAGUUCGACGCACGGAUUUCGAGAAAAUCCAAAAAUACAUAUUCUAUAUGUAUUUAGGUGUGUUUUCUUCUAUUGGUAGAAGGGUUGGAUUUUGUCGUGAAUCCGUAGUCGAUCGAGACGAAACGAGAUUGUAGCUUUGUUGUCUCCGUCGUGCUGAUCGUACUGGUACGAUCCGUUUGCAAAUCUGACGGACGGAUCUGCGGCAAUUGCAUGUUGUUCGAGGAGAGGUCGGUUGUGGCAAAACGGUAUUUUCGCAAAAGUCGCNAAUCAUAAUUUAGAAAAAUAGCAUAUUUUACUUAUGAAGCAAAUUUUCUUAUAAUAUAAAAAAAUAUCUUUGAAGGCCAAAUACGAAAUUGUUAUAUUACAACUGCGAUUACAUUUUCCUUGUCUAUUAAAUAUUAUAUACUACGUGAAUAAAUCGAUAUACUAAAUAAAAUAUUCAUACAUUCAGAAAGAUCAUAAGGAAUAUAUAUAAUAGGAAACAAUUAUUUCAUGCCCCAUGGAUAUUCGUAUAUUUUUAAUUUCAUGAUCGCUGCUCUAAUUCCAAAUUUAAUUAUAAGGAUUAAAUGCAUCACAACUAUCAAAAUUUUUUUCUUAUUUGCAAAUGGUCAUCUAAACUUAUAAAAUUUUCUAUGUUCCAUGUAGCAUUCAAAAUUUUGCACUUGGCCAUCUAGGUUUAUUUUUUAACAUAUUAAAGUGGGUAAUUUUAGCCACCUGAUCAAGAAAUUAUAAAGGACAAAUGCCGGCAAUAUACAAGAUUUAUUUGACAUCGAAAUUCAGUCUUAUGUGUUGGGAAUUUAAUGGUCGUUCUUCAUACGCUACCAACGCAGAUGCACAAAAAAAGAAAAAGAAAUAAAUGGUAAAAGAAAUAAAUGAAGAAACAAAAAUUUAAGAUUUAUGUGGUUUGACAAUUUUCUACAUCCAUGCGGAGAGCGAGAGAGAUAUAUUCCACUAUAUGAAGAAAUAAAAAAAAAGUACAAGCUUAAAGCUUAUAUUUUCUCUAGAUAAAAAAAAAUUAGGAGCCUUUUGGUGAUUCCCACUUUUCUCUUAUUCCAACAAAAACUCCUCCAAAUAUCAAAUAUCUCAUCUCAGCCCAAAACGAGCAGUUUUGGUUGCUCAGAACCCAUAUCCAGGCAUUCGAAACCUUUCAAACAGUGUCCUUCGGGUGCUUCCUCUCGCUGCCUUUCAUCAGUCCAAAUCUGGCAGUAAUUGCGCCCGGACCAAUUCGGUCGUCCGGAACCUGCGCUCGAAACCGUGCUGAGUCACCUGUACAUGUAUACCCUAUCACCUGUCAAAUCACUGUGCUUAACUUUUGGGCCGCUACAGUGCCGAAUUCGGAUAGCCCAAAGGAGGGUCCUGAAUCACCAAAAUCCACUCCUCACAAUGUCUUGGCACCCUAUACCACUUUCAGGCAUCAGUAAAUGCAUAUAUCAAUAUGGUUUGAAUUGAUUUCAAUUUUUGAGUCCGUUUUCGUGUUAUAUUUUGCACCAAAAUAGCUCCAACUCAAUCUAGCAUUCUAAAAACAUGCGGACUAGCAAUACAUACUGCAACCUUGUCUAUUUGCGAAGGUUCAAUGAUCAAAAUAUAUGCUAUGAUUUUAUUUGUAUCAUAAUUAAUGACAUUGCUCUACUAUCUAUAAACUUAUCUAUAAAUUUAUAUAUUAAUCCUCGUGGAAAAGUCCACGUGUCAAAUUUUACUUUACUUAAGCCUUAUAGAUGUGGGAACCACCUUAUGUUUAUUAUCUGCCUCAUACUUAAUUAAUAGAAGUGUGAAUCCACCCCACAACGAAACGAUGCCGAGCGAAACAGUGGCAUCGUUUCCAACUCCGACUCUUUGUAGCCCUCACCCUCAUCUCACCCUUCGGUUCACCGAAACCCUAAUUGUGAUCCUAGAUUUCUCGCCUUCGCCACCUCUCCUACUUGGAUAGGAGCCUUCGUCUCUGCCUCUGCAUCCUCACCUCCUCUGCCUUCGCGGUGCUAUCAGAGGCUGUCGAAAAGUCGAAAAGGCCAAGAGAGACAGUGGAUAAGGAGAAGAAGAAGAAGAGGAAGGCGAGGGGAAGGUCACAGAAGGGGCAAGGGGAGGGGACAAAAGGACUAUGCUUGGUCUCCAAACACAGCCUCCUCCUCCCACUGCACGAGCUAUAGACACUUGGCAGCCUUCGGCUCAACACUUGCAUCGGAAUUCAGUACCUAUCUUCGUGGCUCACGAUGACCGGUUUGAUACCGCUGUACAACCUCAUGGAGGACAUCGCGACGACAGAUAUCAAUAUGGUGCAGAACAGACAGUGGAUUAGAUAUGGAGUUUAUGUGGAUGCGAACCAUUGUGCUCUGUCAAAAUGUUAGGCUCCUCCGUCGCCUUCGAUGCCGCGCUUUUGAGGCUUCAAUAGAUAUUGCGACUCUCCGAAUUCUUCUCCAAACUUUAAGAUAAUUGCUCCUUUCCCAUUUCUCUCUCUCUAUAAUCUAUGUUAUAAUAUGUUUUAGUCAAUUAAGGUUUCAGGACUUGGGUCUUUGGCAUUAGAUUUUUCUAUUAUGGUUUGUAUUAGAUUUAUUGCUAGGAUUCUAAUCCUCCAUUGAAAGUGAUUAUGCUUAAGUUUUUUUUGUGAAUUUUGUGUCACGCCCUGGAUUACCGCGUUUCCCUGGGCACGCCAACAGACCUGCCUGCUGGAUUUGUGCUUAACGAUGAAGGUGUGUAUAACCUCCACUCUAUGAGGCUCAUUUGCUAUUUUGGGGACAGUAAGACCGGCUGGGAGAGGGGCCGUAUAAGCACAGUCGAUGUCAUUUAGAGCAAUAGAGUGAGCGGAAGCAGUGAGACUACGAGGCACUUAUUCGAUGCAGUGAGACUAUGAGGCACAUAGGAAUUUUUCGUGUAUACAAAGCGAUAGCUGUACCUGUAAUCACAACAUAACUACAACCAAUAGUAUAGAGCUGCUAAACUAAAAAAAUAGAGAUAUAUAUAAAACCACGAGGGGUUCCUGUACAUACAAAAUGUCUACAACCCAACUCGCUCCAACGAGUACAACGACAACAUCGCAGUAUGUACAAAGAAAGCCCAAAACUACCUCUAAAUAGGUGCUCCUCUAACUGGCAACGAUACUGGUAGGGAUCUAGCUCACGACUCCCUUCCCACGGUCCGAAUCAGCGACGGCAACAGCCACGGACGAAGGCUCUACAAAAAGGGGUCAACAACUGGGUGUGAAAACUACUGCAAAACAGAGUAGUUCUUAGUGGGUACCGUCAUCGACCUCAACGGCCCACCCACUAAGUCUACAGAAAUAUGCGCAAAGGAUAGCAAGGAAAGCUGAAAAAACUCUACAGCUACAUGCCACUAUACUAUCGCUAACCAACAUAGGCUAUCUGUAGAUAUGAAAGAUGCCUCACUCUGACCCAAUCUCACCUGGGACUGCGAUACGCUCGUCCCGUCUGUCGAAACAACCCCGUACACCACCCCAAGAGUAGCCUGUGGAGAAAACUCUCUAGGGAUUGCAAUACGCCCGUUUCGCCUGUUUAGGCUACACCAUACCCCAAGAGUAGCCGGUGGAGAAAACUCUCUAGGGACUGCGAUACACUCGUCCCGCCUGUCUAAGCUACACCGUACCCCAAGAGUAGCCGGUGGAGAAAAUUCUCUAGGGAUUGCGAUACGCUUGUCCUGCCUGCCUAGGCUACAUCGUACACCUCCUCGAGAGUAGCCGAUCGAAGUAAAAAGGUCCGACAGGACUGCUGCGACUCAACACACAUCACAACCUCACUGAGGGUAGAGAAAGGCGUCACUAACUACCACUGACCCAACCUCACACGGGCUGCUCAAACGGACGCACCCUAACUGUAUCCAGCUCAAGAACCGUCCAAACAAAAACUGUGACCUCAUCGCACUGAAACCUCAUUCCGGAAUGGCAUUCGUGGGUGCGAUCCAACCGAAUUUACAAAUGUGUCUUUGCCUAGUUCAAUCAGGCUCUCACAGGCUGUAAUCACUAUAACUGGGUCAAACUAAUCUAUCCACCAAAACUCACGUGCUCUUGGUACAAUCUGAUGCAAAAUGUAGAAAUCUGGGUCCACCGUCAACCCCGACGGCACCCAACAGUACGAAACAGUUUACACACUAUUGUAAAACAAGCUCGGCCUCCCAGCACGAGCGUAAACUCACCCUACACUAAUCUGGGUAUCCACCUUGUACUAACAGCGGUGAUACAGAAAUCUCGGUCCACCGUCAAACACGACGGCACCUGACAGUCCAAACGCUACUGUACAACAAGCACGGCCCAUCAGCACGAGCAUAAUGUCAGCCUACUCUAAGCUGAGUAUCUACUACGCACUAACAGCGGUGAUACAAAAGUACAUCAGCUCCUGAAGCUAAAUCUAUUAACUUUUCGAAAAGUGAAGUGUGUAGGUUCUUAAUGUUUUCUCCUAAGUCAAGUCCCAGUUCAUCAUGCAACAUUUAUCUAAAAUUAUCAUAUGAAGCAACAAAUUUAGAUUUCAUAUUACGGCAUGCAAAUCUACCAAUUUCAGCUACUAACAUGAUGAUUGAAGGAUAACAAUACAUGCUAAAAACUACAUAGUACUUAGGAGGAAUUCCGGUGAAUUCAAUGACUUCAACCCACCUAGUAUGCAAAUCCGACCACAGAUUAAAGCGAAACUCAGCGGUCACGUGCCUUCAGUCCCGAAUCACCAACAAGUAUAAGAAAAUCCCACAAAUCCCUGUUGGAUCGAACUGAAUUAAAAAUCGAAUCACAAAUCCAUCAAAUGUCUAUCCGGUUCGAAAAAAUUGAAAUUCAGCGUUACUCACCUCAAACCAAUAGUUGCAACUUGAUUCGCAAGUUCCUCUCUACCUCAGGAACACCCUAGAAGCAUCCAAUUGCAGCAAUAAGGUCCAAAUCAAAACUAAUUUCCAAAACUAGUUGCUGCUGUCCCUACUCCAAGGCUGCUGCUGCUGCUAUCUCAAAGUUGCUGCUGGCUUCUAAGUUGCCAGCACUAAGUUGCACUUCAUUCUUGCUCCGCCAACCAACCAACAGCAAAAUUGGGAAUUGGAACUUGUUCACAAGUAAUCUUAGGCCUUUCCUCUAUAAGAAAAAUCUAUAUUUCCCCAAAAAUUCCAUUACAAAUGAAAGAUAAAGAUCAAAAUUUCAGCAUCGACGAAAACAGUUUUCUCAGUCUUCGACCUCAACAAAAAAAUGAAUUCCUCAUUCAUUUUACCUCCAAAUUGAUCGAAACAAGAUUCUAUGCAGUAGAGGAUGAAGUGAAGAUCACUUGCAAUCUUUUCAAAGCUCACUCCUAUAGAAAUUUUGAACGAACUUAAACGGGUUCCAACAAUGGACGAAAUCAGCCUGAAAUUUCAGUAUUGAACCAACUUUGAUCAACUUUAAAAUUAAAGCCACUAACCUCCCAUUUCAGCUCAAACAAGAUAAAAACGGACUCCCAACUUCCCCCUACACCAUUACCUGUGUUUAAUUUCGAAGUUGGAGCCCCAGCAAUCACCCAAUUGCAUUCAUUCUUCAAGUUGGUCCAGAUGGUGCUCUCAAACAGCCUCAAUCAAGUUUCCGUCAGCAGGGAAAGAUGGUAAAUUCACAAACCAUCCAUGAUUUCGCCUAGAACUCCACUCACCAAGUAACCAACUAGUUACUCCUUGAAUUCUUGUCCUCAAUAAGAACACCCUCCCACAGCAGGAACUUGCAACUAAAACUUCAAUUAGUCACUAGGAUCCUACUAAUGCUGUAUUUGUUGUUUGAGUGCUGCUUGUCACGGACAAAAUAUUUUCCGCUAACUUUUCCUUGACAGUGGCCCAACUUCGCUAGCGGAGCGGGUUGGACAAUGGCCCAUUCUCCGAAGGAGCGGUCUGUCGGAGGUUUUGCUGCGGCGUUCUAAAAACUUAUACGCGGAUCUCAAGACUAAUGGUGCGGAUGCCGAAGUGUCAAGAGUCCCUUAGAGUUUCUAGGUGGGCAAUAAGUGGUCUCUUGGGAGACCGUAGCCUAGCUCUUUGUCAUGUAGUUAUGCGCCAUUUGGCGCCUUUUCAUUGUAGCUUGGGUGGCGAGUGGCCUAUAUAAGGAUGUGGCCUCCGCCCCCUCUCAUUAGAGCCAAGGAAGGAAAUCAGUUGUACUCUCAACUUCUAUCAAUAUACAACAUUCCUCAAACUCUCUCUCUCUCUCUUGUAUUUAGUCUAUGGCGAGUAGGUCCUAACUUAGCGAGUAGAGAGGUAGGCUUGCCCAUCUUCGAGUAGGAAGGCGGGCGCCGCACGGGCUUUGCGAACAGAACCGGUAAGUCCGUGACAGUUGGUAUCAGAGCCGGUUCGAGAAGGAACCAUGUCGUCUUCAGAUGCUGCUGUUGUCGACGUAACUGUUGAGCCUUCUAAGCAUACCAAGCGCGACAAGAGCAAGAAGCCGCUGCAGACUCUAGUGAGAGAGUCCGUUCGCUUGACGACCGCGUAGGCGUGCUGAAGGACUCUGCUGCCAAAGCGGAGGAGCGCUACUCCGUCCUAUCCCAACAUGUGGGGAUGAUGGAGAAUGGGCUGCAUGCCAUGGAGGACAGCGUUGCGGUUGCCAUGGCGACUUUCCGUCAUCAACUCGAGGAGUUCCGCAAAGACCUCACCCGUCGCAAGGACAAGCGGAAGGUGCUGGUGAAGGAUCUCGUCACCAGGGGUGACGAGGUCGAGGACCUCAAGAUGCGGGUGACUAUCCUUGAGAAGGCGGUAGCUCGAGGCGUCGAGACGCAGAAGGAGUACACCCAAGGAUCCGCGUCCCUGAAACCCAAUGCUUCAAGGGCACGCGCGAUGAGAAGGAGAUAGACAAUUUUCUUUGGCACAUGGAGCGCUAUCUCAAGGCGCUGCGGUUGGAGGACGAGGAUGAUAAGGUCCAAACCGCUUCCAUGUACCUUGCCGACAAUGCGAUGCUGUGGUGGCGACGGCGUUCCGCAGAGGCCGCAAAGGGCCAAUGCGAAUUGAAGACUUGGGAGGACUUCGUGCGCGAACUAAAGGCACAGUUCAACCCAGAGCAUGUCAAAUAUCUUGCGCGGAGGCAACUUCGACGGCUCAAACAUCGGAGCACACUCAAGGAGUAUGUCCAGGAGUACUCGAAACUCGUGCCGGCGAUCUCCAACAUGGCCGAUGAGGAUCGGCUAUACUUCUUCCUAGAUGGCCUUCAGUCGUGGGCAAAUAAGGAGCUCGUGGCGCGAGAUGUGAAGGACUUGAACUUCGCGAUUGCUUUGGCGGAGAAGUUGCCCGAGCGGGAGCGAACCGAGGGCGAUCGAGGUGAACCACCAAAGGCGAUCGAGGCCAAUGGUGGUGGAGGGCACCGCAAUCCAGGGGGCGCCAAGGGGCACAAGCCAAACCAUGAUGCAAGAAAGCAAUGACAGAAUCCCGCCCCGCCACCUGCAAAGAUCUCUUGCUAUGUUUGCGGCGAGACCAUUGGGCGUGGGACUGCCGAAAGAGGGGCAACCACAAAGGUAAGCAGGUUGCUGCGGUCCAAGCCAUUGAGGGCGAGGACGACGACAUGGUCUAGCUGCCAAGGAUGGGCACGCUAAGGCUCGUCAACGCAGUUCGCGAUUAGCCAAGUGGCGACAAGCUCCGAAAGAGGGAGCUUAUGUUCAUCAAUGUGAUCCUCAACGGGAGGACCACGCGGGUGAUGAUCGACACCGGUGCGACGUACAACUUUGUUGCGGAGGCGGAGGCCAAGCGGUUGGACCUCACAGUCGAGAAGGAUGCGAGUCGCAUCAAAGCGGUCAACUCUGAGCCGUGGCCAAUCGCAGGAGUUGCCAAGAGCGUGGAGAUAGCCAUCGGCCUGUGGAGAGGCAAGGCCAAUCUCACUGAUGGGCUGCUCGACGACUUUGGAGUGAUCCUCGGGAUGGACUUCCUUAUUUCGUCGAAGGCGGCGCCUAUGCCACACUUGUGGGUGCUGAGCAUCAUGGACGAGUCAGCAUCAUGCAUGGUUCCGAUGUGUCGGGAUGAGCCGACGAAGGACCUAACUCUAAUAGCCCUGCAACUUUGCCAAGAGGUGAAGUGCGAGAAGACUGAGGAACUUGAGGAGGAGGACCUGAGCAGCGGCGAGACUGUCAAGUCUUAUGUGGCGCUGAAACAGUCAGCGCCCGAUCAAGGUACAAGUUAUUCUGUCAAGCAGCUGUCCGAGGGGACCAGGGGGCGUUCUGCGGCUUAGCGGAGUGCUGUCGCGGAGGACAUGCACAUUUGGUGGAUUCUUCGCAUAGCGGGUUCGCUGGUGCACAUGCUCAGAGGGGCAAGACACUAGGUGUUGGCGUGGGGACAGAUGCAGACUGCAGAAGGAAGGCACGGGGCCGAUCGCAAGUGAAGGUACGACGGACCGCGCGGAAGGCUAUGCGAACAGGGAAUGACUCGGCGCGCGACGAGGGCGUCUGCACGUUAGGUGGGGGAGGUUGUCACGGACAAAAUGUUUUCCGCUGACUUCUCCUUGACAGUGGCCCAACUUCGCUAGCAGAGCGGGUUGGACAGUGGCCCAUUCUUCGAAGGAGCAUUCUGUCGGAGGUUUUGCCGGGGCGUUCUGGAAGCUUCUAUGCGGAUCUCAAGACUAAUGGUGCGAAUGCCGAAGGGUCAAGAGUCCUUUAGAGUUUCUAGAUGGGCAAUAAGUGUAGUCUCUUGGGAGAUCGUAGCCUAUCUCUUUGUCUUGUAGUUAUGCGCCAUUUGGCGCCUUUUUAUUUGUAGCUUGGGUGGCGAGUGGCCUAUGUAAGGAUGUGGCCUCCACCCCCUUUCAUUAGAGUCAAGGAAGGAAAUCAGUUGUACUCUCAACUUUUAUCAAUAUACAACAUUCCUCAAACUCUCUCUCUCUCUUGUACUUAGUCUAGGGCGAGUAGGUCCUAGCUUAGCAAGUAGAGAGGUAGGCUUGCCCAUCUUCGAGCAAAAAGGCGGGCGCUGCACAGGCUUUGCGAACAAAACCACUAAGUCCGUGACAGUUCUAGCAAGCUACGCAGGGAAGAACCGGCAGGGAGGAAGGAGAAAUUAAGAGAAAAAGAAACAGAAGAACGAGAAAAAGAAUAGAGUUGAUGGGAAAAGUGAGUUGCAUGGAGGAGAAUAAAGUCCACACUCAGCCACACACUACCAACCAACAUCCUGAGUUUGGGGUGGUUGGGAUUUUGAUACCAUGUGCCUUAGGCACAAGGUAGUAAGGUUACCCAACAGGAAGUUGAUUGGCAUAUCGAUCUAAUUUUGACGUCUACGGCCCAACACUUUCCCAACGUGUCGACUGAAGCACAGACCGUAAUCAUUCCAAAAAAAAUAAUAAGUUAAUAUUUUUUUGAAACAUUACAUUUUGCCUUUUUUGUCAUAAAUUGGGUGAUAUGAGAAUAGAGAGAAAGGAAUAGGCGAGUUUAGAGAAGAUGAUGUUGAUCAAGCCAACAUGGGGAAACAUAAGGAUCGGUAUGUCGUUUAUGGUGGCUCUGAAAAGAUAUAAGAUGGUGAUCUCCAUGCCGUCGUACACGAGCCUCGAGAGAAAGGUCAAUCAUAAGGGUGUAUGGCACAAAUUUGAUAUUGAAUGUCCUUACCAAAGGAUGGGCGGAACCGUGAAGAAAGAAUAUAAACUCAUUCUAUAUAGGUAAUAUUUUUUGUGUUAGUUUCCUCUCCUUCCUCGACUCCCCUAUUAUAAUGACACCAUCGCCGCAUGGGGUUCACCGAAAAGUUGCUUAGCCUUGCCGACUGCUGCCACCCGAUAAACGUCCCCAUGAACAUCACUCGCCGAGUGCUUAUAGCGGUCUCAGUAAUCUAAAUUUAACGACCUAUUUUUUUUCUAUAACUUAAGUUAGUAAAUUCGAUUUUGAUGAUUUAGAAACAAAUAAUAGAGAUAAUUUUCUUUGAAAACUUAAACGGUUUAUAUUUAAAACUUUACGGCACGANCUCAGCGCCUUCUACAUGGUUAAAAAAAAAAAAAAGUUGGACCGGGUGCACUGCAUGUCUGGGCGGUGUUUAAGUUUCAAGGAGAUAAGUGAGCCCGUCUCAGAGGAAACAUAAACGUGCCGCAUGGUUGCCUAUGUUGUCCUAGUGUUGGUGUUGGAUGUAAAUGGUUAGUCGUUGGUUAAGUACUAUACAUAAAGGUAUGUCGAUUGUUAGGAAUCUUACUACGUACGGAGAUUCGUGAGGAAUCCGCAACCUACUACGUUACGUGUUAUGUUGUUUGUAAGAUAAAUUUUCACGAGGGGUGGGCCUUCGAAAACAAAAAUUGAGAUUAAGUUAGUAAGUAUUUUGGUAAGUUUUUAGAAAACUUUUGACAAAAGGUGUGCUUUUGAUGAGUUUUAAAAAAUGGUAAUGGCUUUUAAAUCGGCCCCGGGGCGUGACAUCCUCUUCCUCCAUCUCCUCCUCCGUCGGUGCCGGCGGCCCUUGGCAACAGUAACAAGGUCGGCGCCGAUCCUCCUCCUCCACCUCCGUCUUCGCCGCCGCUAGAGAAGAAGAAAGAGAACUCGGAGUAGGCCCGAGUGAGGGCGGAGCAGACAGAGGCGAUGAGGUUGUUGCCGAGGAGGUGCUCACCGCUCGUGAGGGUAAGGAAAACGGUGUAAGGAAAGAAGAUGCACCUAUCUCCAAGGAACGAACAAAUAUGCAAAGGGUAGAAAAAAAACAAGAAUAAAAAAUAAAAUAAUAAAAAAAUUCUCUUUGAAAGAGCAUUAUAUAUUGUUGCUGCUACCGAAAAGUCUAAAAAUUAGAGAAAAAGAAAGAAGAAGAUGAAUGUUGCACUGUUAACAAGAAAAUUGCACUGUUUAAUAUGAACGUUGCACUUUGUGAGAUUAAAAUUACACUGUUUAAAAUAAAAGUUGCACUAUUUGGACAAAAAUUAUACUAUUUCAAAAAAAAUUGUACUAUUCUCCGGCCCUCAUCGCCUCAUCUUCUUCUUUUCUUCCUCUUUCUUUGACCCCUUCCUCCUCUUCCCUCUCCCCUUCCGACCCUUAUCCUCACCAGCGCGAGCCUCUCUACCCCGCAUGCCGCAUCGGAGCGCCGAAACACGAAAACGACCUACCUCUCUCUUUUUUUUUUGUUCCUUUGUUAUUUUUUUUUUUCUCUCUGACGCUUAUCGCCUCCUUCACCGUAUCCUCGGUCCUUGGCGACAGUAACGAGGGCGGUGACACCUCCUCUUCCUCUGCCUGUGUAGUACACUGAACUUUAGCAAAUUGCCAGGUUCUAGUGUAAUAAUAGUAUUUAGAACUAUUCUAACUAUUUUGUGGGUUGUUGGUAGUGUACCAACACAUAACUUAAGCUCUCUGAGUGCGAGAACGGGUUACUAGCACUAAAAUCUACAAAUUGCAGGUUUUGAGUGCUGCGUAUCGGCCUUGAGUGGGGUACCGGAACUCUGUAGAGUGCCAGAAUGUGUUGCUCUUGGGUUUGAGGAGCUGGGCAGUGAGUACCGGUACUGGACGGUGAGUACCGGUACUGGACUGAGUACUGGGUGGAGUACAAGUACUGCAUCAGGUGGGUACCAGUACACUGUAAAAAAUCCGAUUAUCUAGCGCUCGGGUUUUGAGAGGCUAAGUACUGGGUACCGGUACUCCAAUUCGAGUACCGAUAUUCAAUGCUGCAGAUGGUAUGUGUGUAUAAGUGGGGUGUCACAUUUGGUAUCAGAGCCAAUUACCAGCCAGAAGUGUGAGAUGAGUCUCAGCUGAACCAGGUUAUACAACGGGGAGAGCGAGGCUCUCAUGCUCUUGACUGUUGUGGGUGGAGCGCGGCUCUCCCACAAGGUCGGUUUAGGCUAGAGAGACGAGUCUCACAUUGCUUGGUACUUGUGAUUCUGAGUCUGACGAGGACGUUAGUGCUUAAAGAGGCAGAGAAUGUGAGACCCCAGAUAGUUCUCUAUAUGGCAGUUCUCUAUAUAUGAUAUAAUAGGGUUAAUACCUUAACCCGGAUAUAGCCUUUUGAGCGGUAGCUAGGUCCAAGAGGUUAAGAGAGUUAAGCGUGCUAGGACUACAGUAGUCCUAGGAUGGGUGACCCUCUGGGAAGUAGGGCGUCACGUAAAACAUUCAAAAUUUUAUUUGAACUAUGAACUAUUUUGAAUUGACUAUCUGUCACGCCCCGAGCUCCGCCUAUUUGGUCGGAUUCGGGCAUGCCAACAGACCGCCGAACGGAUAGGGUUUCCCCUGUACCACGGAUAGAGUUUUUCCUGUACUGCGGACAGAGUUUCCCCUGUACGUCCAAGGCGUCACAAUCCAUACAAUACGCGAGGUUCCAACCAGGAACAGUAUUCAAUCAAGGAUUGCGUAAGGAAGUAUCAAAAACAUAAAUACAACUAUGCUAUUACAAGCAUUCAUUCCAGGUUUUACAUAUUACAAUUUGAUUUACAUUUAACUUCCAAAUACAAUCAGGUUAUUACAAAACUAUUACAAGUUUGUUUCUUUCAUCUCUAUACCCCUAAGCUAGACCACCUCGGGGUACUGCUAUCUCUGGUCAGAAUGGUAGGGCGCUAGCUAUGGAGCUACGCCCUUUCCUCGCGCCGCCGUGCCGCUCACGCGUGAACCUGAAAUCCCCCAAAACAACGUGGGGUGAGAACUAUAUAAAUAUAGUUCCCAGUGGGUACGGCCACCUAAGGUAAGAGCUCGACCCACCAGGUCCAAAGGAGGCACUGCCAACAUGUUAGUCCAGAAAAUAUCCACAUAUAUAUCAUUAUAUGUUUUAUGUAACUAACAGUUAUCAUGUUCAUGCCUCUCAACAUGCAACAAUGCAAAUCAUGCAACUCAACAUGCAUCAAUGUAAGUCAUGGAACUCAACGUGCAAUAAUGUAAGUAGAUCUACUAAUUCUACUUCUAUCUCGCUAUCCACAGCUCGUCCAACUGACUUCUAAGAUUUCCUCUAUCUUAGAUUCAUAUCAUUCACAAUUUGCUCAUAAGGUUUCAUCUACCUUUACCAAACUAUCCACCCGACUCGGUCUUGAGUCAAUCAUCUGCGGAGUAAUCGCGUACAGCCAGGCUCGAGGUGAAGGACAUCUCAUAUGCAUCUCAGCCUUAAAUCCACUGAACUGGGAUGCCAACUGGGAUGCAAAUUCACUCUACUAGGAUUCAUCCAUAGCUCAUAAUGCAUGUCACCUAAUCUCACUGGUUAACCGAAAGGUUAAGCCCCGACUCAUAGUGCAAUCCCAUAGGUGAGGAAACCCUCCCGCUCGCACACCGAGACCGUCUGCUGGGUAAGUGGAUCGUUAACUCAUCGUGUGAAGACUCCGGAGCUCACUGCUUGGGUGGAGCGACCACGCCAAGCGAGAACAGACUAUGUGAGUAUGAUCCAAUCCUCUCCAACUGAGUAUACCCUACCAACUAGGGAUACAACAAACUCGAAAAAUCCACCAAUCCCAACAUUCAUGUCACAAGUGUCUCUACUACACUAGUUCCAAAUGCCACUCGAUCUACAACUCAAAAAAUCAUCUAUCCCUAUAGUCAUCAUGUCAUAAGUGUCUCUACCACACUAGUUUCACAUGCCACAUUUUCUACUUGUCAUCCUAGUUAUCCACACCUAGGAUUAUAGUUCAUAUGUCCUUAUUUUGAUAUCGAGUUCUCUAAUCAACCUAGAGUUUAUCGACCCAAAGUAAACAUUCAUAUGAAUUUAGCACAUUCUACAACAUGUCAACAUGCAUAUCUCAACUAGUAUAAUCCACAACAUGAACAUGCAUAUACCAUCUAGUGUAUAUAUAUCCACAUGCACAUUUCAUCUAGCAUGCUCUCAUAAUGUUCACAUGCAUAUUUCAUCUAACAUAAUCCACAAUAUGUCAACAUGCAUAUGUUUAGUCAUCCAAUGAUAGUCCAUGCAUAGCAUCUAUUUCAUGCAUUCAUCUAGCAUUUAUAUCAUGUAUUCAUAUGUUUUGCAAUUAACUACCAUUAUAUGCAUCAAUGAUAAAUAACAUUCACUUCGACAUGGAAGUGAGCUAAUCUCUUCGGUGAGCACAACCCAUCUCGUAACGCUCUCCGAUUGCUUGUCGACACUUGCAACCGGCCUCCUGCGGUACUCGUUGUUCGGUUCGGCUCGAACUUGCAAUCGAUCACCAGCCACAUGUCAAUCCGCGACCUAGGGUCUUCAAGGGCCUCUCUCUAACCUCCAAUUAGAGAAACCAAGGGUUAAUUUAGACCAAAACCCUUAAACCCCAAAACACUCAUCGCUAACCCUAGCAUGGCAUAAUCUCCAAUUAACCCAAAAAUCUCAUGGAGAAAACAUGCUAACAAUACAUUAGAGGCUACUAGAACACUAAGUAUUAAGGAUUUAACCAAAAUCCUAACACUUACCAAAUUGCAAACUCCGAGUCGAAAGCACGCCGCUCAACUGGACGUACGAAGACUCGAUCCGUCGCUCCACACGCGUUCCCAAGCCCGCUCGCCGCCAAGCCUCUGAAUGUGGGAGAGAGAGAUAAAGAGAGUAGGGAAAUAUCUAGAGAGAGAAAGGGAGGGUUUCUCUCUCCCUCUCCAUGUACGUGUGUGUGUUGUGUUUGGCUGAGGAGGAAGGAGGAAGAAGAAGGAAAGGGGAAAAACCCAUUUUUAUAAGCCAACACCCCUCAACAUUAACACAAUUUUCAGUUUAGCAGUUCAGAAUCUGAAGUUCUUCGCCGGAGCCCUUCUGAAUGUCCGUUUGCGCUCAAAUUUGACAGUUAGGCUCGGUUUAACUUAACAAGAAAAACGAAAUCUUAACUUCUCAGUUUCAAACCAUUUUUUGUCACCGAAAACUCUACCGACUAAAAUUUCUAGUAGAUAGCAGUCGGAUUUUAUUUUAUACUUUCCUGGUAUUGGAAUGACAUGAAAUUUUAAAUCUUGCAUCAUAAAAAUAAUUUCGACAUAUUCUCCAAUUUUCAUAAUUUUCUGACACUGUGAAUUUUCUGCUAAAAGGUCAACCCCGUUUCUUACAGAAAAUAGUAUCUUACACUAUUUUUAUUUAUAUUUACCUUUAUAUUAAAAUCCGGUGCAUCACACUAUCCGACCUUUCAAAAUUUUGAUUUUACGAUCCAACCUUUUAAUUUAUUUGAUUUGACUUAGUCAAUAGCAUUUUGAUUAUAAAAUUUAAAUAUGACCUUUAUCUUUAUGUUUAGUUAUUAUACUUCAUGCAAUUUUCAUAAUUGUAAAUAUAAUAAUGUGAGCAACUACUUAAAUUUUAAAGUCAAAGUGUUGUUGUAAUAUCUGAGAUUUGAAUAAAACGAAAUUUGAAAUUUGAAUUUGAAUUUAAGUAUAUAUAUAUAUAUAUANUCUCUCUCUCUCUCUCUCUCUCUCUAUAUAUAUAUAUAUAUAGUUCGGCUACUAUACAUACAAUUAUGAGUACGAUCGCCCUCGUACUCAUAAGUUGUUUUCGAUGAUAGAGCUCCCGAAUCGUCGAUCCACACCGUUAAACAUUAUCUAGCGUAUUUAAAACGUCUAGAAAUCAAAUUUUAUAAUUUUUCGUCAUCAUUUACCUUACGAUCAAAAGGUCACAAAAUUGACAAUUUUUAACGGUCGGUAUGGCAUAUUUGCUAGUUUAACGGUGUAAAAGAAUCGAAAUCGGUUGAAUUUUUGAUAGAAAAUUUUAUUCACUACAUAAAUAAAGAUCAAUAACUCCGAUCUUAAAUUGAAGGAUCCGAUCAUCCAUUUUUAAGAUGUCGUUCGAUUUUGACCGUUCAUUUUAUACCCGCUUGAUGGACUUUUUUAUGAUUUCGAAAAAUUACGAAAUUUAUUUUCUAGAAGUUUGAAUACUCUAGAUCAUAUUUAACGGAGUGGAUCGUGAAAGCUCCAUCAUUGAAAACAACUUAUGAGUACGAAGGGCCCAAUACUCAUAAGAGUAUAGUAGCCCUACUCUCUCUCUCUCUCUCUAUAUAUAUAUAUAUAUGUGUGUGUGUGUGUGUGUGUGUGUGUGUGUGUGUGUGUGCGCGUGCAUGUGUGUGUGUGUAUAUAUAUAUAUAUAUGGUGGUAUUGAGAGCAGAGGAGUUUCGUCGCAGAUCGGCGACCAAAUCUGGCGAAACAAAAUAGUAGUUUCGAUGCCCCUGUCGUGCUGAAUGCGAUGGCGCAGUUCGAUCAAAAAUCCGACGAACGGAUCUCUGGGAAUCUCAUAAUGUUCGCUGAGGAGUCGAAAGUGGCAAAACGGAAAAUUCGCGAAAAGCCUUAUAUUUUAUGUACCGUUUUGCACGAUUUUGAAUGUGGAGGUGCGUAUGCGCAAAAUACAUGCGCUGUGAGGGACUUGCCUGAAAAUAUUCAGCUCUGGAGGACAAUAUUGCAAUUUGGCCAAUAUAUAUAUAUUUGCAUCUUGGGUUUUCCAUGCUAACCUUAACCCUAGUAUACACCUUCUACCGUAGCUGCGCCCCCAACAGCCUCCACCACCCUCCCCUGCCCUCGCCACGCUGUCACGGGUCUAAUGACUUUUGUCAAAAAGCCCGCGCGGUGCUCGUUCGUCACCUACACAAACGAGCCAGCCAAUUCGUCUCGAGGUACAACUUCGCAAAUUGGCAACGACCGAGAAUUGAGAUAAAGCACGUAAGGGGGUCCUACAAAUUGGCACAAACAACGAGUAUUUUAUUGAUAACGAAAAUUUGGACUACAAGCGAAAGGCACACGACUCAACUCAGUCGGGCAUGGCCGAUGAGGGCAAAAUGAUCACCAAGACACUCCGCAUCUAGCGAAGCCGGCUCACUUAAUACGUCUCACCCAACCUUCCCGUACUACCCUAUAUUGGCAUCUACCCAUUUGGCACCCCGGGGGUACAAAGGUGCUCACCAAGGGGUACGUUUUUCCCACUCCGCACACCCAUGGGAAAAUAGGUCGCCGACCCAUGUCCGACAUGAGUCCGGCUCAAUCCGUCGCUGUCACGCCUCGGGGUCCCAUUUUAGUUUUAAAAGCAAAACGGAAAUGCCCAAAAAAAAAUUUUCUUGAAAACCUGACCCCCAGGGUAUGCCAGAUCCGCCACAAGUACAGGAAAUCACUGUUCACACGGACAGUGUCUUCCCUGUAUUUGCACAGCGUCGCACAAGUACAAGAUACAAUUUUUAACUAACCAAAUACAACCACAAAGAUGAACAUCCACAGAUUCAUACAUCAUUCACAGAAUCUCAUUUAUCCAAUUGAAUGAAAGUCAACUGAACCAUAAAGUUUAAGUUAUAUAUUUUGAAUAAGCAAGGAUAGAAACUAGACCGAAGGUCACCGGGCCGGAAACUUUAUCGACCGCUACGAACGUGUCUCACGUAUCGUCUCAACCCUCACCACCCGCAAUACCUAAAAAAUGGUUGGGGGGGUGAGAACAUGUAACCAUGUCUCCCCUCCCAGCGGGUACCGCAAGCAGACGAAGGCGAGGAGUACUCACCGGCAGAAAGAGAUCAACAAAGUCAUAAGUAGAUAUCACAAAUACAGUAGCUAUAAUACCGGAAGGAAUGGAAACAAUAAUAGAACAUGUAACUACCGCUACUGCAAAAUAGAACAGAAUGCAUACAUGGAUAUCGUAACUACAGUAACAAUGAUGCAUGGGUAAAUAACAAUAUAUAGGAAUAUGACUAGCCGCUACUGUAAUACAGAACAAAGUAUAAGUAUGCAUCAACUGGACGAUCAGUCCCAAAAAUACCCAAUCAGAAACUUGGCAUGACGGUCCGCAGACCUCAAGCCUGUGCUCACUGCCACUCUACCUGUAUAUGACCCAGACUAGGCCUCUGGGCUCACAGGCUGCAUAUAACCCAGACUAGGCCUCUGGGCUCACGGGUUGGCACAUCGAACCACUUUUCCGGAAAAGAACACCCUCUGUGGUGGAUCAGACCGCUGGUGAUCGUGAAAUGCAAACAAGUCUCGGGCGAUCGAUGCUGAUAUGCUCAAUAGCCAACCGUCGGCAACUAGCCGACAAUCCUAUCUCUCAGGGUAUACUGACCAAUAGGUCAUCGAACUGUAAAGAACACAAGUACCGACCACUCAGGUCAACUAGAUGGAACAACUCAACAUCCCUUCGAAGAUAUGCAAGUAUCGACUACUCAAUGUCAACUAACAUCUAUAUACACAAGAACCGACCAAUAGGUCACAAGGAUGUCACAUCAUACAUCGGUAUAAUCCAGAACUAACUGUAAGUUUUGGGGUGUCCAAGGAUCUAUCUAGAUUAUAUCUAAAACCUAGAGGGGGGUGAAUAGGUGUAAUAGCCAAAAACUAUAAAUCUCGAUGCGAUAAAAAUAAAUGCGAAAAAUAAAAAUCACACCGAAAUUUACGUGGGAAAACUCCAACUUGGAGAAAAACCUACGAGACCAACACGCGAAAAAAUAGUUCACUAAGAGAAAAGAUUACAAGGUGAUUACCAACUCCACGGACUCGACCUCUCUUAACCUCUUAUGAAUCUCGCGCAAUCCUCCGGGUUGUCCAUGCCCCCACGUUCGAAUCCACGAACGCCUCUGUAGCACACUGGACCUUUGUAAAUUGCGAGGUUCGAGUGUUCGAUUUGUAUUCCGAACUUCUCCACACUUGGUGGAGGGCCGUCGAUGGUAUACCGGCCUAAAAGUUCGAUCUCGAGAGUUUUGGCAGAGUCCUGAGAGUUUUUACUCUCGGGGACCGGUCCCUGAUAGGAGAGACCGGUCCCCCAGUGAACAGUGCUGCGCAGCCGGCGAGGCAACCGGUCCCUGGCAGUCGAGACCGGUCCACGAGCGCGUCUGCGCGGGGAGAGACCGGUCCCGCGCAGGGAGAGACCGGUUCCCGAACGUUGAAUUUUCGGGGACAGGCUGAGAGACCGGUCCCAAGUCGGGGAGACCGGUCCCUCUGGGCGAAAACUGCCCAGACCGGGCUGAUGUGAUUUUGGAUUUUUAAGGGGCUUAUCAGGAUUUUGUUACUUUAGAGCCUAUAGAGAGCCUUUCUUCUCUCUCUUUCCCUCAUUUCUCUCAAUCCUUUGCAUUCUAGAGAGAGAAGAAGAGAGGGAGAAGAAGAAGAAGAAGAAGGAGAGGAGAAGGAGCUUGCUUGGAGGCUUUGGAGCAUCAUCUUCUUCCCCAUUUCUCACUUUGGUGGCUUCGAGCUUGUGGUUGGAGCUUUGUGGAGGAUCAAUCUUCAACCCUAGAAGAUUUUGAGCUUGGAUUGGAUCAUCCUAGAGGUAAGUGGCAAGGUUCCUUCCUCUAGAUCUUAGUUUUGGGGCUUUUGCUUGUUUAAACCCUAGAUUUUGGAUUUUAGGGUUAGAUUUGGGGAUUCUUGAUUUGAGGCUUCUUGAUCUCAUUUGAAAGGUUUGGAACCUUUAUAUAGGUUAGAUUGGAAGACCUCUACCUCCCAUUUGAAGAUUAAGAGAGGGUUUUUCACUUGAGGUGAGUUUUUCCCAACCCUAUCUUAAGUUGGUUAAUGAUUGAACUUAGCGUCAUUCGUUUCGACUAGAUGACACUUGUUUUCAUACCUUUAGGGUACUAGGAGUGUGGUGGACGCCUUCGUCGUGGCAAACGAAAGCUUUCGUUGACGACGGUGGGUUUGGCUUCGUGGAAAUGGGGCGAAAUGGCCCCUAUGCUCUUUCUAUUUGUUGUAAAAUAUUUUUUUUAAAUUCAUUCCUAUGCUAAAUGGAAUUUAUAUGAAUUUUAGAGCACUUCGAAUGCAUGCCUUGUGUAUUAUGAAAAUUUCACUAUAUAGUAGAGCUAUAUGAGUAGAAUGCAUGCAUAUGGAAAAAGUGUUAUUUGCAAGUGAAAAAUACAUCACUUAUGAGGAUUAUGAUUUGGAAUAUGUACUUUGGAACAUAGUUGCCAUGCUCUGGCAUAGAGAACAAGGGUGUCAUCAAGGGGCACUUGAAACUAGUAAACUAUGAAACUGCAACAUAGAGACAUAUUGAUAGGCCACUACAUAUCUGCUAUAUUCCAUGUUAGAGACAUGAUGACAUAGGGAUAGGCCAUUGAGAUACUUGACACAUUCCAUGUUAUUAGACAUGAGGACUUGGUACUUGCGACAGAUCGUUUGACUACUUGCCAUUGUGCUCAUUCGCACAUGCUUGUGAGGGUCGCUCCCUACAAGCCGGCACUCCGGAGAUAGCCAUCGCGAUUCAUAUUCGCCGUGCGGGAUUGGGCGCCGAAGUGGAUUGCCGUGGGACAGGCUCAUUCCUAGGGUGGGGAUGAUGACUACCACGGGGCCAUUAGGCUCGGCACCGGCCAGACAGCCUACGGGUGGGUCUCAGGGCCAUAGACAGCCUUCGGGUGGGUCUCUUCAGAUUUGACUUUGAGUAUUCAUUAUGACAUGUGGACAGAUGAUGACUUAGUGUACUACUUGGACAUUGACUAGAAUAGUAAACAACGGAACUUUACUAUUUCGCAUUGUGAACAUUAUGAUAGUUGGAGACUUUUACUUCAUGCAUAGUUGCUUCAUACUUAUGCUAUUUAUGCUAAGUAGAGAUAUCAUGUUGUAGUAAGUUACAUUUUUACUUACCUUUCGCUUUUCUACUUUUAUAGUCACUGACAUGUUUUGUAGAUUUGGGCCUCGUGGUGCAUUCACUGAAGUCAGUAAUUGUCCACUGGGAACUAUUUUUAAUAGUUCUCACACCCCUGUUUUAUGGUUUACUUUUCAGAGCCUUCGGCACCGGCGGAGGCACGGGAUCGUGGCAAUGGGAUCGCUUAGCUAGCUAGCGAGGAGCGGUACUUUGCCUAGAUGGUUUACUCUUUCUUUUGUAGUUGAGAGAGUGAGAGGUUUUUGUAUCCAUGUAUAGAGACCACCUAUGUAUCUACCUAUAGCACUUGUAUCUGGGACUUCCUUGUAUCACUUUAUAUUUUAUUUAGUGGAUUUACAGUUUUAUCCUUAUCCCUGGUUGUAGCAUUUAGACAUUUAUUAUGCUUUGAUACUCCUAGAUGUCUUUUAUUAUUGCUUUUAUUAUUGUUGUUUUUAGACGCUUUAUACGUUUUAGACGUAUGGCGGGUCUGGGCACGCGCCGGGCGGGCUUCCGCUGGGUCCCGGGGCGUGACAGCCUUGCACACGUCUAAAUCCACGAACGCCACUCGAAUCCACGAGCCCACAAUCCGAAUCCACGAACCGCCUUCAAUCACGCUGAAUCCACGACGCCAUCCAUGAAAAACAUCAUGCUAUGGUGAUCCUUCGCUUAAAGUGUUGUAGAAAACCAGAGAAGAAAACUCCAAGCGAAGUGUAGAUCAAAUCGACAUAUUGAUAUCAAAUUACAAUCUCUCGAUUUCACCUAAAAGAGGCUAUUUUGUGGAAAAUAGGUUUUGGACGAAAUCCUAGCCUGUAGGGUUUCUCAAAUAUGUAUUCUCAUGAUGCUUAAUCUGUUAGAGAAUCCCAAUAGCUUAUUUAUAGACUUUAGAAUCAAUUAGACUCGGAUUAGAAAGUUUUUCGGAUUUUUACAUUGUGUACCGGUACACUUUCAAGCUGUUACCGGUUACACGAUGACGGAACGAAAAACCUGCAAAAUAGUGUAACAGGUGACAGGUCGCUGGUUGUACCAAAACACAAUAUGUACCGGUACACUUUCAAUGCUGUACCGGUACACUUUGCAAUUUUUAGUUUUUUUGCAAAGUUUCGGGUUUCGCAAAGUUCCAAUGCACUUUCUGAUCCAGUAAACAUUGAUUUUAUGAUUCUAAUGCCUACAGCUAAGUAUGAAUCACCCUAACAUGAAUUACAAAUUUUACCUGAGCAUCGUGGUUCACGUCGUGAGUUAUUUUCCGAUUUCUUCGAAAUCUUGGAUUCUUCGAUCUUUGACAUUACGCACUGAUCCUUCAAGACUCCGACUCAAUCCACGAAACUUGCCAACACACAAGACUUAGCAAUUUCGUGACAAAACUCACAACAACUCAACAAUUACAUCUUAAAGAAAAACGAAGUUCAAUAUCAUCACCAAAACAUCGAACUUCUCGCAUGUAGUCCAAAUACAACUUGAAACUCAAAAGUACAUUAUAAACUCCUAAAACAGACUCUAUGACUUAGACGCAACUAGGAGUCUUGAAGUUUUGAUUUCCUGCAAAAACAAACUAACCAAAAUGAUAUAGAAAGUUGAGACCACUGGACAUUCUUACAUUCAAUUCAUUGUUCUUAUUGUUCUUGAUCACUUCUCCCCCUUUGUUCUUAUCUCCCUUCUUCUCCUCGAAAUUUCACUCCUUUUCCCCCUUUGUUCUUGAAAGAUAUGGAUCCCGAGGAUCUAAAAGGUAAAUAACACCUAGAGGGGGGUGAAUAGGUGUAAAAUGGCAAAAACAAAAGCUCUCGAUGCAAAUAAAAGAGAUAGCGGAAAAUAAAAACAGCACACCGAGAUUUUAACGUGGGAAAACUCCAAUCUGGAGUGAAAAACCCACGGGACCGAUCACGCGAAGAAAAUCCACUAAGAAAACUUGAGUACAAGUGAUUUUAACCAAAAUACAUGACUCAAUUUACCGAAUUCCCGUUGUUGAUGGUCUUCGCCGGUCCUAGAUCGAUAGGAAUCCUCCGAUCGACCUCGCCGCAACUCCUUGCUGCGUCAACGCCUCAACUCCUCGAAGCGUCCACCGAAUCCUCGGCUUCACGCGAGUCCACGCGCCGAACCUCCUUUCGGAGUUUGCAGAAUUGAUGAUUUGUGGUGAUUAAGACUUAGAAUACCAUAAGCAAUGAGGGUUCACCUUCUAAUCAAACAUCUACUCGAUUCUCGAAAAAGAUAUCGAGUUAGAUCGAAGAAUCAAGUCGAUCGUUGAAACUUGUUAUAAGAAUAGAAUCAUAUAAAUGUGAAAACAAGUUUCUAGGAUUUUAGAUCAGUAGAAAUUCAAAGCCUUAACCCAUAUGACGACCCCCAUGGCUUAUUUAUAGGUUUAGAAGACUUAGAAGUAGACUAGGAUUACAAAAAGUCUAUUUAAAAAAACUGGUGUCGUCCUCAGGGACCAGUCCUCUUGAGGAGACCGCUCUCGAGUGAGAGAUCGGUCCCUCGCUGCGUGACAGAAAACACACCGUUCGGUUCGGGAACGGUCUCUCAUGCCAGAGACCGGUCCCUCGCUGCGUGACAAAAAAUCCCAUGUUCGGGAACCAGUCUCCCUUUCCAGAGACCGAUUGCCUCAACAUCCCACGCAGUGAGGACCUUCGGGGACCAGUCUCUCAACUCUGGGACCGGUCCCAGAACACUGAAAAGUUCAGUAUAAGCUUUAUAAUGCAAUCUAAGUCUUCUGAACUUAUUGUAAUUAAAUAAAUUCACCACAAAUGAUCUAUUCUAUAUACCUGAGGUGUCGAGCUUCUCCAAAUGAGUUUUUGCUCUUCAAAUUGAAUCUUCUCUUCAAACUACCGCGAUCAACUCUUCAAGACUCCAUUCGACUUUACGAAAUCCGCCAACCUAGAAAAUCCUUAACAAUCUCCCCCUUUGGCGAUUUCGUGACAAAAUAUAUUACAAUGCUCGUACACAACUCAGAAACAAUAAAAAGAAGAUCAUCGCAAUCACCAAACGACAAUCUCCUCCUGCAUGAUCGAUCCAAUAAAAGAAAAAAUUACACUUUUCUCACAUUCCUAAUACAAACUCUAUGACUUAAACAUGGAGUCUUGAAGUCUUGAACAUUCCUGCAAAAACACUCUUAAAACACAAUCAAGAUUCAAGAAUACUUAUUAUAUCAAAAGAUCAAACAUAAACGUCAAAGCACCAACCAAAGUUCAAGACACAUCAACAGUCAUAGUUCUUCUAAGUCAACAGUCAUAGAGCAUCUAAGCAAACAUCUAAUCUAAAUUUACAUAACUAAGCAAAACACCAAAAGUGCAUCAUGGGCAACAUCAUCACAAGCAUGAGCAUCAUCAUCAUCAUGAGCAUUGAGCAUCUCCCCCUUUUUGUCAGAAAGCGCCAAAGUGACAAAAGGAGGAACCCCGCACCACUCAGUCGGAGUUGUCACCCUGCAGAGGAAGAUCUGAGCUACAACAACCCAAUUUAUCAAAGAUCGCUUUCAUUAAACAUUUAAUCUUGCUCACAUCCUUCCUUAUCUGAGCCUGAUCCGUAGAAAGUUUCUGAAGCUCUUCAGAUAAUCGCUGUUGCUCACGAUACACAGAUGAAACCGAGACAUCCUCCUCAGAAAUAUCCAUAGAAGAACGUGAAGAAGUAGGAGCAGCAGGAGGUGGAGUAGCAGUAGGUGAAGCAGUUCGUUGAGACGGAGUUCUAAGCUGCACAGAGGACUUCACAAACGUCCUUUCAUUAAUCCAUCCUAAGCUGUGCUCAUAGGAAGUACAACUUGUAUUCACAUCGUGAUAUCUAAGAAUCCGCAUGAUGAUCAUCGGAUAUGGCAAUCUUUCAUUCUGCCCGGAAGUCUUGAUGUCCUUUGCCAUCAGCCGCCAAAUCAAAAAUGGAAUGUUCAUGUUGAUGUUCCUGGCUUGAACAAUGUUCCCCAAUAAGUACAUAUAGGGUACACGAUCCCAUCUCAAUAUCUUCGUGUUAGCUAAUGGCAAAAUGUUAUAGCAUACCACGAAGUUUAGAAAUCUAUAUUCCAUCUUGAGAUCCUUAGAAAGAACCAUAAUUGCAUUUGAUUCAGUACCCGGCAUACAUAUCGCGUCCAAAAUCUUUUUCCAAUUCUAAAUUGAUCAAAACCGGCAUGAAGAUACUCAACCCCAUCUAUCCGAGCCGUCAUUUCCAGCACUGUAGCAAUAGAAUCAGGUUUGAUCAUCAGCUCCACUCCACGUACUGAAGUAGUAAACUGAUAAGGGCCUCCAUCAGAGUCACUCAAAUGACCUGCCCUCAUGUAAAAUUCUCUGAUCAGCUCCAAACAAAAACCAGUCUGCUCCGGGAAAUCACAAAUCUGAUGUAGAUUUUCUUUUUCAAACAGAUCUUGAAACCCCGGUACACAAUCAAUAAUACUAGCUACUCCAACAUCUCGCUUGCCAAUACAGUGCUUUGAUGAGUACAUUGAUCUACGACUGGAAGGAACAUCCUGCACACUAAGACGUGGAGGCUCAGAACCCGGUUCUCUGAUCUCAACACCCCCAAACUUCCUACGAUCUGCAUAUUCAGUCGCCUUUCCUUUUCCCUUGUCCAGUGCCUUUCCUUUACCCUUAUCAACUGCCUUUCCUCUACCCUUUCCUUUACCGUUGUCCUUAUCCUUUUCAGUAACUGAGGGAGCUUUACCCUUCUUUUUCGACAACACUUCUGGAGUAAGUGCCUCCCAAUCGGGCUCAUCAGACUCAGAUUCCUCGCCCGGAGCAUACUCGCUCCCCUCAUCCUCUGGUUGUCGCUCAACCGGUCGCUUAGCCGAGAAACGUUGACGUUUGCUACCGCGACCACCACCGGCCAUAAGAAAAACAAGCACGAGUAACCAGGAAUACAUGAUUUUAAAAGGCACCUGUUAAACACAAUAACAUAUACAAAUUGAACAUAAGAACAAUCAGUAUUUGAUUCCAAAAACUUCAGCAAAUUGAUAUGUAAUAUGCUAGAUAAUCCUAGGGCCACAUAACCAUGAAAAUCAUGGACAAAUCAAGCAUAAAAAAUCAGUAAACUCACAUUUUUCGAAAAAAUUGAAAAAUUAGGUUUUAAUGAAGAAAACAGAGCAAAAAAACAACCAAACAAUUGCAUCAAAGUAUGAAAGAAUGCAAGAAAAUGCUGACUAACAUGUCUAGAGGUAAGAUCAGGGCAAAAAGAAGAAAUUUAACAAUAUAAUGAGAUCAAGACCCCAAAAACAGGAAAUAAAGCAUAAAUUCGGAUUAUAAGGCAACAACGAAAUAAAAUCCGAGAAUCAUACCAAAAUCAAGUGUAAAUUGAUGAAGAGAGGAACCAAAAGCACCCUGGAGAUAUUAGACGCUCUGGAGAGAAGUUGGGAAGGAAUUGGUAAAGUAAACAAAAUAGACCGCAAAAACCCUUAUAACGGUUCGGGCGGAGGGACCGGUCUCUCCAAGUCUGGGACCGGUCCCAGAGCCAAAAUCUAAAAAUUUAAUUUUCGUCCAGAAUUUUCAGAAAAUUUUAUUUAAUAUCCCCAAAAUAUCCAACAUAAAAAAUACUCAAUUUUCAUCCCCAAUGACUUCCAAUAAAAUUUCAUAAAUAAAUUUUGAAAGAUUAAUUUCAAAGAUAUUCAAAAUGUCAAAAAUUGUUGAUCCGAAAAUCAAAUAAAUUCUUGAUAAGUAUCAAAUAAAAUUUCACAUAUCAUGCAAGAUCUAAGAAUCAAUUGUAUUGUCUUAUUCUCAUAUUUGUUAAGAAAAAUGAAUAAGUAAAUCUCACAAUUGUGAAAUUAAAAUAAUAUUCACAAUUUGAGUUAUGCACAUAAUUCGAGAUAAGAGUGGCUCUUUGAGCAUCUUUUUAACAAACCACCUUAUAUCGCCUAGGAGAUGUAUUAAACAUAGUAUUAGAAUUUUACCAUCUCCACAACAUCUCAUAUUUAUUUAUUCUUUAUUGGCUUUUAGCUUAUAGAGAUAUAUUGAUCAUCAUGUGGUAGCUUCACACACUGAGCGGACGACCGGGGUGGUAGCUCUUUCCUCCAUGUGGUGGUAGUUUUCACACUCCCAGCAGGGAUGCAACUCUUUUCACAUCUUUUGAAUUUAAGAUAUUUUCAUAACCACAGUUGGAAAGACUCCCCCUAAAUUAGUGCAACCCUCAAGUCAAAAAUAUUAUUGCAAUUUCAAAAACAGAGAAAGAGUUAUUCAUCUCACAACUAAUAAUCAAACAAACAAUUGCAACAUUCAAAAUUCGAAAUAUGAGGUGUUAAAUUUUAAUUCAGAAUACUAAGCAGAAUUUCAACGAUUUGAUCGUUAAAAAAUUAUGACAAUAGAGAAUAACAUUGACAGUGAUCAAUCAAAAACUUAAUAUGAAACAAUUAAAGUCAUAUGAUAGAGCUAAUAAAAACCAAUUCAUCUCCCAAAAACAGUGCCAUCAUUUAUGAAAUUCAAUCGUCUCUCAAGAAUAAUCAGGAAAAACCGGAAAACAUGCACAAAAUGGAACAUGCACAUGAUCUAUGGCCCAAUAGAAUGUAUCUAGUUUGAAGGAUUCAUACCAAUAGCCUUUCUUAAAUGUAGAAAACGUUUUUGAUCCAAAGGCUUAGUUAAAAUAUCCGCAAGUUGAUUUGCAAUUGAAAUAUAUUCAAGUUGAAGAUAUAUUCAAGUUGAAGAACAUUUGAUUCAACCAAUUCUCUUAGAAAGUGAUAUCUUAGUUCAAUAUGCUUUGUUCGUGAAUGUAGAACAAGGUUUUUAGAAAUAUUGAUAGCACUCGUGUUGUCACAUAGAAUUGUAAAAGUGGUGGAGGAGAUCCGAUAAUCACUCAACAAGCUUUUCAUCCAGAUUAAUUGAGUAGAGCAACUACUGGCCGCAAUGUAUUCCGCCUUUGCAGUGGAGAGUGCAAUACAGUUUUGUUUUUUACUAUGCCAUGCAACCAAACAGUGUCCAAGGUAAAAACAAGCUCCACUAGUGUUUUUCCGAUCAUCUGCAGAACCUGCCCAGUGAGCAUCUGAGUAGCCGAUUAAGUCCAAAGACAUCCCCAUAGGAUACCAUAGACCAUAAGCAGUUGUACCUUUAACAUAUCGAAUAAUUCUCUUAACCGCUUUCAAAUGAACUUCCUUUGGAUUAGCUUGAUAGCGAGCACAAAUUCCCACACUGAAAGCAAUAUCCGGUCUACUCGCGGUCAAAUACAGUAAACUACCGAUCAUGCUCCUUUACUGUUUCUCAUCCACACUUUGUCCUUCAACAUUCACUCUAAGUCCUUUAUUACUUGUUCCCAUCGGUGUAUCAAAGUUCUUUACUCCAUCCAAACCAAAUUUCUUAACCAGUUCCUUUGCGUACUUGGUUUGAGACAAAUGAAUUCCUUCAUUUGAUUGUUUAACUUGAAGACCAAGGAAAUAUGAGAGCUCACCCAUCAUAGACAUCUCGAACUCACUAGUCACAACUUAGCAAAUUCAGUGGCAACUGUAUCUUUAGUUGCACCAAAGACAAUGUCAUCCACAUAGAUUUGUGCCACAACAAAAUCAUUGUUAGUGUGUUUUACAAAAAGAGUUCUAUCCGCUCCCCCUCAGUUGUACCCCUUUUCUAAAAGAUAUUUUGUUAAUCGUUCAUACCAUGCUCGCGGUGCUUGUUUGAGUCCGUAAAGUGCUUUCUUAAGACGAAAAAUAUGAUUUGAAAAUUUAGAAUCUACAAAACCUUUUGGUUGCUCCACAUAAACUUCCUCUUUUAGAAAACCAUUCAAAAACGCACUUUUAACAUCCAUUUGAUAAAGAGUAAUUUUAAAAUGACAAGCUAUCGCGAACAAAAUACGAAUAGAUUCGAGACGGGCAACCGGGGUGAAGGUUUCAUCAUUAUCAAUCCUUUCAAUUUAUGAAUAACCUUGAGCAACAAGUCUAGCUUUAUUUCGAACAAUUGUAUCAUCCUCAUUUUUCUUAUUUUUAAAAAUCGAUUUAGUACCAAUAACAUUUUGUUGCUCAGGGCGUGGCACUAAUUCCCAUACAUCAUUGCUGGUGAAUUGACCAAGUUCUUCUUGCAUGGCAUUUAUCCAAUAUUCAUCAAGAAGAGCUUCAUCAAUAUUCUUUGGCUCAAUUAGAGAAACAUAACAUGCAAAUUCACAUUGAAGUUGACUUCUAGCUCGCACACUAACACUCAGAUCUCUAAUGACAUUAGAUAAAGGGUGAUCUCUUGACUUUAUCAGGGGUGCAGUCUCAGAUGAUGUACUCGGUAUUUCAGAUUAGAUGCUUUGAGGCUCAGAUGGCUCAUUUGAUGCAACAUUUUCAGAAGAUGCAAUGGAAUUAUCAAAAGCAGAAACAUCAUCAUUCACAGGCAAUACAAAUGGAGAGAGUCAUUAUCAUCAUCAUUCACCAAAGAAUUAGAAGAACCAUUCACAGAAGAACUUACAGAAGAAGCUUCAUCUACUUUUAUAUUGAUAGAUUCUAUCACCGUCUUAGUUCGUAAAUUGUACGCACGAUAAGCACGACUUGUAGUAGAAUAACCAAGAAAAAUCCCCUCGUCACUUCGGGAGUCAAAUUUUUCAAGAUUUUCACGAUCCUGAAGGACAAAAUAUUUACUCCCGAAGACACGAAAGUAUUUAAUAUUAGGUUUCCUACAAAGCCAAAGUUCAUACGGAGUAUUCAAAGUACCCGGACGCACAUAAAUCCGAUUGAUAACAUAGACGGCCAUGUUAACUGCUUCGGCCCAAAAAUGUAAAGCAAUUUUCUUACUAUGAAGUAUAACACGUGCCAUCUUUUGUACAACCCGAUUUUUGCGUUCUACCACUCCAUUUUGUUGGGGUGUAUAAGGAGCCGAGAAUUCAUGUUUUAUGCCAUUUGAAACACAAAAAUCAACAAAUUUUGAAUUUAUGAAUUCUCCCCCUUGAUCACUUCGAAUACGUACAAUUUUAUCGUUACGCUCAUUCAUAAGACGAAGACAAAUCUCAGAAAAAGAAUCAAAAGUAUCAGCUUUUUCACGUAAGAAAGCACUCCAUACAAAUCGAGUAAAAUCAUCAACAAUAAGCAAGAUAUAACGUUUUCCACCCAAACUUUGAAUCCUAGAUAGUCCCAUCAAGUCCAUGUGAAGUAAUUCUAACGGUUUAGAUGUCCCUAAGUGGUUCAAAUUCUUAUGUGCGGAUCUAGUUUGUUUUCCCAGUUGACAACCCCCACACACAGUGUUCUCUUUGAAGUCUAUCUUAGGUACACCUCUAACAACCUCCUUCUUGGUUAUCUUAGAUAGUUCCUUAAAGUUCAUGUGACCUAGUCGUUCAUGCCAUAAAGUUUCGGUCUCUAAUGUCGCUAGGUUACAAUGUUCAGAUGAAGAACUAGGAACUACAUAGCAGUUAUUCUGAGAUCUAAUGCAUUUUAAGGAAAGAUUAUCAUCUCGAGUCACAUGGCAUUCUUUAUCAGAAAACUUCACAGAAUACCUAUCAUCACACAAUUGGCUUAU